UAAAAAAUAGGUUAUUGCAUCCACUAGCAAACCGUGGAAAAAGAACCGCACCCACUACAAGCAAACAAAUAAGUAAGACAACAAGGAAAUAAAUAAGCAAGCAACUUACGCUAGGCUAUCAUGGCUAUUACACAUAUUACAUCCACUCGGCAUCAAAGUUCGCCACCAGUGCAAAUAAACGCGUCGACAAAAGAAUAUACAAACACGAGAGCACUUUAGAAGGCACUAGGCCUGGCUAGGAUGGGCCCCGCAAGCAGCUGAACAAGCUGAUGAGACCUCAGUUGUGUCAAUGAUAAUGCUUCAUCCCUAGUUGUAUGGCACCAUAGUGCGCAAGGCAGUCCUCUGACAUCUUCAUUACAUCUUUGACUUCAAGUCAGAGCUGAGCUGAAGCAAGCCUUUCCACUUUAAGUUGAGACUGAAGAAGUCAAACUGAUUGAGGCAGCGACUGCAUAGAGGUUGUCUCACACCUGCUGGUGAGUAGCUUCAACUCUCUCUUCAUCAAGACAGGACCCUGGGGUCAUCUUGCUGUCCUCAAGAUUGUUUGGCUCACAAUCUUCCCUAAAUUUCUGCCUGGCAUAAGAGAUACGAGUUUGAAAGAGAAACAAGGAGACACGUAACAUGUUUCACAAUUAUAUAAGCAAAUAAAUGGAUCUGUUCUGCAUAAGGAACAUGUUUUUGCAACUAUAAUUUAAAACUGGUAGUUGUUGCAAACAUCCAAUCAAAUGUAAAUAGCAAAGUAAACUAUAGUGGAGGAAAUGAUGCCUCCCCAAAUCUAUACUAGAACAAAGUUUGAAGGCUUGAGAAGGAUGAACUUACAUUACAUGUUAACACGGGCUGGACAAAGCUCUUCUCCAUGUUAAUGGAAGGAUAAUUCAAUAAAUUCCCCAAAGAAAGUUCUUUAUAUAUGUUGCCAUUAUUCUACAUUUUGCAAAGAGUAAAUAUGGAUCAAAUAAUAUUGGAAGAAACAAAGGAUAAUGAAGCUCAGGUGCAGACUGAUGAUAGAUAAUCAAAUAGCAAUUAGUUAAGUACAACGUUACAAGGCAAAAGGGCAAGAGGUACUGACAAGAGCAAUGUAGAGCCUAGUAUUGUUGUGGGAUCGUAUGAUCCUUUGAGCAAGGAGAUUCAUCUGAAAUUAGUUUUCAUACAAGAGAGAAGGUAAGGCACAUGCAGAAAUUUAGGAGUUCAAAUUUUGAAUUGAUAUCAUAGAUAGUACCUGACGCUAGGCUCUCAGCGGUUCUAAUAGGGGUUUGUCCACUGGAGUAGGGGUAAAGUGUGGUACAGUUGGGCAUGUGUUUUCUGUGGCUGCUGAUCUAUCUGAUUUAAUAGGUAUCACUACCUUUUCCAAAUACAUAGCUUGUACUCCUUGAGGAUAUGCACUCACCCUCUUCCUUUUGGACAUCUAUUACAAAAGAACAACAUUUGACUAGAAAAACAUAGUAGGACAACACAUGGAAUAGGUAGAGAAAAUGGAUAGAUAUGGCAUAUAGUCAUAUAUGAUGCUUAAACUAAGCAGAUGGUGUAAGAAAGUAGAAGUAAUGCAAGAGUUUAGAUGCAAAAUAUGUGCAACCAGUACAACCUUGCCAAGUUAGAGCAAGCACCUUGAUGGGUGAAUAAGAUAGGCCAUCCUCCAUCAUGCCAAGUUUGUUAGCCAGUGGAUUGUUCUGCAAUAUUCCUCUCGUGCGCCCAUUCUCAUAUUCAUUUUGAUAAUGUUCAAUACCUGACAUGCAUGAAAACAUAAAAACAAGUGAGAUUAUCUUUGUAAUGUAGAAGUGAUUCUAAUCCAAUAUUGCCUCCCUGUAACCCCUCUGUGCUAUCUCUACAAUUCUUCAAAGAGAGGACAUGCAUGCUAUAAUUUGGUGUGUGCAUUAAUAUAAUGUGGCCUACUACUCAAAAUAUGAGAGCUCCAGAAGUGAUGACACUUCGCAGAUGACAACUUCAACAUAUAGUAAAGAAGAACAAGUCGACCUGAACUAACAGAUUCAAAAUAUACUAAGGGAGAACAACUCGACCUAACCAGUCAACCGCAAGAGAAGAGGACCAUCUUAAAGAAGAGCAGAAGAGCAAGCAGAUUGAAGAUAUUACAAGUCUUUCUAUACAAUGUCGGUUGGCCACCCAUGAUGAACCAGAGCGCACAAAGAAAUAAUAUUCCUUCCGGUCUCUCCAUAUGUGGUUCACAUGCAUUUCGAAACUAAAGUAGGAACAUUUAGUUGACCAAUUAAACAUCUCUCAGUUUUACUAAUAUCAGCAUAACAUUAGAUUUGAAUUUGUACCACUAAGCUUGUUUAGCUCGAUGGGUGGAUUAGUGCUAUUACAACACGAACCACGUAGGCUGAUCGUGGUCACCAGAAAAUGGGGAAACCGUAAGGAUGAUGAGUAUAGUGUUGACCAUGGCAGUGGUAUGGAAGAUCUGAAGCUGCAAACCACACAAAGGGUAGUUAGCAACCGACGAUUGCUUUGAAAUAACAACUAAGAUUUGGUAUGGACAAGAAAGUAUAGUCAACAAGUGACAAUGAAAUGUAAUUUUGCUGUCUCUCUAUAUGUCGCGACAUGUAUUUGGAAACUCAAGUGGGACCUUUAGCUAACCAAUUAAAUAUGUCUGCUAACUAAUAUCAGUAUCAUAUCACAAUCAUAUUUGAACAACUAAGCUUUGGAAUUUUGAGCGUUGUGUUAUUUAGCUUGAAGGGUGGAGUAAUGCUAGUACGACAGAAAGCACCUAUGCAGGUCAUAGUAGAGUAGAUAAAAGGGGAAAACCCUAAGCAUCAAGAGUAAAAUCAGGAAAGUGGAACUAGCUGGACCAGUGGGUGGCGCACAUGCUUUUCGAAACGAAUAUAGGAACAUUAGGUGACCAAUUAAACGUUCUUUGUUUUAGUGAUAUGAGCAUCAUAUCAUAUUCAUAUUUCAACACGUAAGCUGUGUGUUGAGGUCUUGAGGAGCAGUGCUAGCAUGACACGAAGCACCUACGAUGAUGGUAGUGAAUAUAAAGGGGGGAAACCAUAAGCUUUACGAGUAUAGUGACCGUGCCAUGGCAGAUCUGAAGGUGCAAACCUGACAAAGCUACUUUGCAACCAAUGUUUGCUUUCAACUAGCCACUAUGAUUUUGUACAGACAAGAAAAGUACAGUAAACAAUUUACGAUCUAUUUUACGGGUGAGAUCAAUAACUUCAGCAUAUAUGGAAGAGUACCACCUCUCUUGCGACGCCGUGUAGGCUUCUGCUGAUACGUUGAGGGUGUUGCGGGUGCGAUGGCUAUCGGCGGCGGGGAAGAAGUCUUUAGACGGCAGACAGCCGGGUCAGGGGAUAAAUCAUGUUGUCGUGGAUGAGGUGGUUGUAGGAGUGGCAACAACAAGGUGGACGACGGCGCCUAUGAAGCGAGAGGACGCGACAAAAGGGUCCUGGUCCGGUGCCGUGGAUGAGAGACAUCCAUCUCUUGCAGUGGACGACGGGGUAGGGUAGCGGCUCCAGCAAGGUGGAGGACGGGGUAGUGGACAGAUGAGGCUGGUCGCAGUGGGGAGGUUGUCGUGGCGCCGACGGUGUUUGAAUGGGGAAAUGGAGGGGGAGGGGGGAUCUCAAACUUUGGGACGUGCUUGUCUGAAAUCUGGGAAAGUUACAAACUUAUCCCCCGUUUAAAAUUUCGGACAUCACGUCGAUUGGGGAUAGGACGGUAAUCUCGCAUCUCCCAAAUAUUUACCGGUAAUGAUUUUGGUCGAGGAGAGGAUGUUUUUCCGUCCACGUUUGGCACCCAUGGUGUAUGAACGGGGCUGAGAGGUAAGGCGGUUGUGCCACGUCUGAGGGAAGUUACACAUCUGCCCCUAUUUAAAAUAUUAGCCUACAUCGAUUUCGAACGAGAGAGUUUGUUUUGUCGCCCACCGUGUAUGAAUGGGGAAAUGGAGGGAGAGACACAUGUCUUUUGGACGAGCUUAAAUCAAAUGUGUUUUGCCUCCCAAGUUUGGGGCCACCAUGUCUGAAUGGGCUCAGAGGCUGUCGUGUCACGUCUGAUUGAAGUUACUAGUCUAGCCCUAUCAACAGCUGUGUAAAUCCGGACGAUAAGGAUGUCAAGUGUCAAUAGUUAUUUUCAUCCAAUACAAUAUGCUCAGUAGGUUGGAUACACUCUGAGUCAAAUAGUUAUUUCAUCCAAUACAAUAUGCUCACACGAAAAACAAUUCACCUUAUGUCAAUCAUACAAGUACUGAGUAUUACCUCACCUAAAAAAUUCGGAUCAUUACAACACAUAGACAACAUAGGGGGUCUUACAACAUAAUCCAUUCAGAGAAUGACACAACAUGCAAGUACAAUAAUGUAAUGACAAUUUCAACUGGUGUAUAAAGAACCGGGAUUACCCUGGGCUUCAGAUAGCAAAAACAGCAGGACCUCCUCCGUCAUCCAAUGCAACAUUCUUACUUCCUCCAAUUCUUGGGUUGCUUGCAUAAUGUGUGCCGCUAAUUGCAUAAUUUCCAGCCUCAAGAUCAAGAUUACCUCAUUCAUGUCUGCCACACCAUCUCUUUCUGCCUCUAGUAGAGCCAGAAGAACUAUAAUAUCUGUGCUCGGACUGCUCUCCGGCGGUGUUGCCUUUGAACUGCUACCAUCUAGUAACAUGGAUGGCGCACUGCUUCCACAAAUAGAUUCUGGGGUUGUACAUUGUGUCCUAGUGUCAACGACAUCCUAAAAGGUUUCCGCUAGACAUAAGUAAGAGAUAGUUAUCGCAUGAUCCAGGCAAUAAGCUUACAUGGUAAACGACAUACGAAUUAUUUCCGAGCAUGGCAAGCUAUAUUUAAAUGGUUCGAAGCAGCAUCAGCCGAAAAGAAAUUAAAAUGGUAAGGUCAAACUAGGGAUGUAAGUGGCAAAUAAACGACAUCCACCUGUCCCAUCUAGUUAGUUUUUGCUAGCUCCCUAGUUCAUUUUCCUCAAAAAAAAACUCUUUUGAACUAUCAUACCACUAGUGGACUUUAAUCGGGAUUAAACAGGAAACAGUUGACAUCCCUAGUUGAAAGGGAGUGUCCCACCGCUAUAUUUAAGUUGCUAAGGCAUCUAAGCAGUUGAAAUAAUCUGAGAAAGCACUUAACAGUGUGGCCUCAUAUAAACUAUGAAGACAGUCUUGUGAUGAAGUUUGGAGGAAAAGUUAAGGACUCAAAUGAACUAGGCAUGCAUUUCUUUAUGAUAGUACAGCAGGCACUGCUGAUAUAUUUGCCAACUCAGGUAUAGUGUAACAAGUAACAAACAAGCAUUCGAAUCAAGCAAUACAACAAAGCAGACAACUAAAGCAUUUGUAAUUCUGUACGAUUACAGGUUGAGGGCACAAGCCAAGAAAGCAUCCCACUCGCAUUACAUUUCACAUGUACUAAAACACACUGGCUUAACAUAUGUUUCUGUGAAGCCUUGCUGCUGUUGCAAUGUUCUUUGAAGAUAUCGUCAGCAUCCCAUGGUUGCAAAUCUAGUUGUUGUAGUUUAUUCUGCACCCUCUAUUUAGGUAAAAUUAAUUUUAAUGGAAUCCAUUGGUUCGAAUUGAUCAUCAAUGGUUCAUCUAAACUAAUGAAAGAGGGGUGUGUUCAUACACGACAAUAUAUCUGCUUCCCUCUAUUUUUAUGCUUGUUCGAGGUGCCAGCCCCAAAAGAACAAAUAUUUUGCUUGAUGGGGUUGGCAGCUCCAUAAUUAAUAGAAGCAUAAAAUUAGUCAUGCAACUUGGGAAGAUCAAGAACACACAAAAAAGUAAUGAAUAGAGGCUCGGAACAGUGAUGUAAUAGCUAGCAUCAGAAAAUGUAGGGUAAAACGAACAAAAAGUAGUGGAACCACAUGCUAGUUUGCUGAUGUGUAAUUAAGCAUAGAGAACAUGAAGCAGUCUGAUGGAACCAACAGGUGGCAUUAGAACAACACCAUUAUCACAAAUAUAGCAUGCAAGAAGUAAAAUAGUAGGAAGUGAUAUCUAGGAAGUACAGUAAUACUUAGGACAAAACUAAAGCAUAUUAACUAUAUGUGCACUGGUAUGUAAUUUAGCACAUGUAACAUGUUCACUGCCAGAAGUAAGGCCCUACAGGUGCAAGAAGAAUAACGCGUCUCAUGAAAAUUUGAAUGAUGCCCUGAAGAAAUUCAAGGUGCGGUGCUUAUGCUAAGAAAGUGAACGUAGGCACUGGCCGUCGGAUAAUAGUACAUGAUUCUCGGCGGCGUAUGGGUAUCAUUGUCAUACUUGAUAGCUAAGGAUCGUCGAUGGUGCUAGUGUUGCGGUUUAGUUUGGGCCGGCUGUUGCCAUCGCUAAAGUGGCUCCUGUGAUUCGGUUGCGGCGCCUGUCGACAUACAAGAAAGCUCAUCUGUGGUAAGUGAACAAUUGCAUGAUAAAGAAGAGAAAAACGAAGGAGUACAAAUUGAAAUAACCUGAUGAGGCUGCGGCAUCAGUAAAGCAGGAGUUGAAUAUGGCUCCCAUGGAGCAGGUCCGGUGCAAUGGACGAAGGCUUCGGCGGGCGCGGUGUACAGUGCUUUCGGUGAGGCAGAUCUGUUGCAGCGGACGAGGGCUUGUAUGAAGGUCCAGCGAUGGGGCAGACGAGGGAGUUAGUGAAGGGCCUACACUGUGGUGGACGAGAGUGCCAAGCAGAUCCGGUGUAGUGGACCAUGAUGGCGGUCAAGGAGAUCUGGAGCGGUGGACAAGCCACUCGAUGAAGCGGCUCCGGUGAAGUGGUGAGUUGGUAGUUGGGGGUUCCAAGGUGCGGAAGGUAGAUCCGGCAGGGUGUGAGGUCCACCGCUAUGGCGGAGGACUAGAUUCGGCAGCUUGCUGUGGUUGGGGGGUCGAGGAGGGGAAUGGGAGGGGCUCUAGGGAAGAAUGUUGGGGGCAAAGAGGGGAAAACAAUGGAGUUACCAAAGCAUCCCUUUUCCUUUCAUGUGGCAGGGGUAAAUAGGAAUAUCGCAGGGCUAAACUUUUGGGCGCGAGAUAUUUCGAUGUGAGCAUGAAGUUUGAAAGCUUUUGGCGCCUGAAAUUAUAAGUGUUCUGCUCUUGUACGACCGACUAUGAUAUCAUGGCCGAGAAUUUGUUUGUUUUGCGCGCAAAAAAGUGCAAGUUUUGAAAAUCAAUUUCUCCAACUCGAAACUUAGAUUGUCCAUUCAAUCCAAAUAUGGAUCAUUGAUCUAGUACAAGAAAAUACCAUCAUAUGGUUGAAUUCAAAUGAAAUUCCAAAUGUGUUUAUCCUAAAUAUGAUGACAAAAGCAAAAUUGUGUAUGUGUAUGAAUAAAGUGGAUGAUUAUAAAGUUUGAGCAUGCCCGUAUGUGUAUAUCUCUAGGUUUGAUAUAGGAAUUUGGAAUCACGAAAUCCCGUCUUAAAAAUGUACCUCCGUUUAAAUGAAUUACAAAAGCUAAUUAUGGAUUCGAAUUCCAAAAUUCCAAUAUUAGGUUUGUAAUUCUGGUACAUCAAGGUAUAUCACGCAUGUUCAAAAGUAUCGUUAUCUCAUAGUCCAAACUGUGAAACAAAUUGAUCAACCAUGAGUGCACACACUAUUGACCAUAUAUAUCUCAAUUACACUAAAGUCCCUCAAAUAUAGACACCUCACUCUUUAUCUAAAGCACCCCCCCCGUCCUCCCCCCCACACACAAGUCAUUCUCCCCCCAGACACGAACACACGAGCACAUUAACACCCCUCUCUCUUCUAAAGUCCGGACCCCAAUAUAGAUCUCUGUCACUUUGUCUGUCGGGCAUGCACACAUCUCUUCCCCCACUCUCUAGGUCUCCCGGCAUCUCUCUUUCCCAAGCACACCCACUAUGUAGAGUGUAUAUUUCCCAUACACACAAAACGUUGCCCGCAAACAUCUAUCUCCAUAGUUAUGUGGUUCUCGCACACUCACCUCACACAGCACCCCAACUACAAACAAGCACACUUUGUCUCCUUGUGCACCACUCUCCUCUUUCUAUCUCUCCCACAUGUGGACCUGCCCCAACUCCUCCCCUGUAUACAUAUAUGUCAUGACUCUUUCCAUAGCUCCCUAAUGUAUCAUCAUUCUCAAUCUUGCACGUUGUUCUCUACACCAUCUAUUCUAGAUCUCUCAUGAAGUCCCUAUCACACACACGAUGAUUUGCUUCCCUUGCGUCUCCGUACAUAGGCCAAUUUCGAACAACAUCAACAUUGUCUCCCUAUCUAUACGCCAUUUAUGGACACAAAUGACCCCUCUCUCCCCCUUCUCUUCCUCUCUCUCUCUCUCUCUUCGUCGCUAGAUAUCUCUCUCUCUCUCUCUCUCUCUCUCUCUCUUACACCCUCUCCCACACACACUCGAUGUCCCUUCCAAAUAGUCUGCUCCCUUCGCCCGCACCCAUGCUAUCCCGCUACUACACGUGUCACACCAUUCCCCCUUCCCUUAUACUUGGUUUACAUCAUUAGUGGUCUAUUUACUCCACAUACACACACUCCCUCUCACACACAAAUGUGCGCACAAACACACACACACACACACAAAAACCCAUUUAUCUGGAUCCUCAUCUCUCCCCAUGUCCGCAUGUGUAUCUCACGCACUCACUCUCUGAUUAUGUCUAUGUGUCUCCAUGUUACACAACACAAAGCCCCAUGUACAUGUCUCUCUCUAUCCUCCACACACAGAGACACAAAGAAUCUCUUAUCAUUGCCUCAGUCUCUAGACAUAUCACACACGCACACUGUCUCUCUCUCUCUCUCUCGCAAACAUGCUCAACAAGGGUUUCCACAUGAAUAACUUAUCGUCUAUUCAUCAACAGUCGUGGCAGUACGGCGAACACGAGACGUGAAAAAAAAUCUACACGUGCUUAGACCACCUAGUAUGACUACUAGGACUAGAGCAAGCCGAAAGUGCGCCACCGUCACCCCCUCCUUAUCGGUGAUGGGAAAACCUUUGUUUUACACAGUGGAGAAGUCAUUAUGCUAAGGCCCCACAUGCUAAGGGGUUGAAUAGAAUGUAAUUCCUAGUUUACGGAAACAAGUAUCAAUAAUAUGUUUGUAUCUUCAUACUUAUAUUUCUUCUCUUAUAAAAAGCCUAGUUGGUGAUGAUGGUAAGCGUGUCGUCUUGCAAUAUAGACCGUCCGAUCUAUAUCUGACGGAUGAAAAUUAAAUUAAAAGAUACCUGCACCUCUCUACACAUUUGCAGACAAGGCCUUCCCUCGUUCAUCCUUAUCUCCAACAACCUCAUUCUUGAGCAAUUAAAAAAGGAAGCCUCUAGAACAAACUGGCCUGGUGGCCGCUGCCGGCGUCGUCCAUCCCCAUGCCUCCGCUCAGUCCGACCACCAAUCACCACCACACCCCACUCCUCUUCACCUUAUCUCCUAUUUCUCGAGAUAUCAUUAGUUUUUACACAUGGGAUUACUGCCGCAUGGAUCAAUCACAGUAAGUGUUUUAUAAAAAAUGCAUCUUGAUGUUCCGUGUAAUGCACGGACAUCUUGCUAGUAUUCCUACAGAAGACUAAGUUGGUGAUGAUGGUAUGUCUGCCAUCAGUCAUUUCUGACCAUUAGAUCUACAUAUAACGACUGUGAGGUAAGUUGUUGCCUUUUCUAACCAACAUCCCACUUCUCUAGCAAUUUGCAGAAAAACCCAUAAUUAGUAUCUUAAAACAAACCACAUCCCUCCCUCACCUCACCAAAACAGCCCAAGGAAUAUAUUCUGAUUGAAACAUAAUAUAUCUCUACUAAUAUAUGUAUAUCAAAAUUAGAGCAUUUUGUAUCAAGUUUGUGAAUAAGUAUUAUUCUAAUUAUGAUCUGUUGCAACACACAUGAACAUUGCUAGUAUUUCCAACCAUGCAAAAAAACCUAGUAUUUCCAUAGUUUCGAGUUUUCCAUCAAGAUAUUAGCCACUCAUGGUUGAUAUUUACUUUCAAUCCCGUACACAUAUGCACUACAUAACUAGCCUUGCUUAUUGGCUUCCAAAGCUUAACUUUCACUCCUACUUACAAUAUGUAGAGUAUUUAAAAAAAUACCACUUUCAACCAGCCCUAGGAAGAAACUGUUGUACAAAAAAUAGCAAAAACAUACCCAAAAUUUCUUAAUCCACGCAAAAAACUAUUACCUAGUGCCGAUUAGGCUCGUUUAAACCCGUUUAUGACAGGGUUGGCCCACACGUCCGUGCUAACGAGGCAGCUUAAACCAACAAUUUUUGUAUGAUCGUUGACACGAGGGACCCACAUCUGACCUUCUAUCCUGUUAUUCCCCCUCAAAUCAUUAUUUUUCCUAAACAUUACUUCAAACAGUACUUAUGUGUGUUCGUCGGUGGCGUCGGUGAUGAGCGAGUUGGCCGCCGCUCCGCCGGACGGGCCGGACUCCGUGCUGGCCUCUGCACGGGUUGGCAGGCUGGCCCGAGCAUGACUCAUGAGCGAGCAAGCCUCCGCUUGAUGUCUACUAUACAACCUUCUUCUGGUAGAUGUUGUUGGGCCUGCAAGUGCACAUGUUUGUAGGACAGUAGCAAAAUUCCCUCAAGUGGAUGACCUAAGGUUUAUCAAUCCGUAGGAUGCGUAGGAUGAAGAUGGUCUCUCUCAAACAACCCUGCAACCAAAUAACAAAGAGUCUCUUGUGUCCCCAACACACCCAAUACAAUGGUAAAUUGUAUAGGUGCACUAGUUCGACGAAGAGAUGAAGAUACAAGUGCAAAAUAGAUAGUAGAUAUAGAUUUUUGUAAUCUGAAAUAAUAAAAACAGCAAGGUAACUAAUGGUAAAAGUGAGCGUAAACGGUAUUGCAAUGAUAGGAAACAAGGCCUAGGGUUCAUACUUUCACUAGUGCAAGUUCUCUCAACAAUAAUAACAUAGAUAGAUCAUAUAACAAGCCCUCAACAUGCAACAAAGAGUCACUCCAAAGACACUAAUAGCGGAGAACGAACAAAGAGAUUAUGGUAGGGUACGAAACCACCUCAAAGUUAUUCUUUCGGAUCAAUCUAUUCAAGAGUUCGUACUAGAAUAACACCUUAAGACACAAAUCAAUCGAAACCCUAAUGUCACCUAGAUACUCCAUUGUCACAUCAAGUAUCCGUGGGCAUGAUUAUACAAUAUGCAUCACACAAUCUCAGAUUCAUCUAUUCAACCAACACAAAGUACUUCAAAGAGUGCCCCAAAGUUUCUACCGGAGAGUCAAGAACGUGUGCGAACCCCUAUGCAUAGAUUCAUGGGCGGAACCCGCAAGUUGGUCACCAAAACAUACAUCAAGAGGCACAUGAUAUCCCAUUGUCACCAAAGAUAAGCAUGGCAAGACAUACAUCAAGUGUUCUCAUAAAAGAUUCAAUCCGAUAAGAUAACUUCAAAGGGGAAAACUCAAUUUAUCACAAGAGAGUAUAGGGGGAGAAACAUCAUAAGAUCCAACAACAAUAGCAAAGCUCGGGAUACAUCAAGAUCGUGCCAUAGAGGGAACAUGAGAGAGAGAGAGAUCAAACACAUAGCUACUGGUACAUACCCUCAGCCUCGAGGGUGAACUACUCCCUCCUCGUCAUGGAGAGCACUGGGAUGAUGAAGAUGGCCACCGGUGAUGGAUCCCCCCUCCGGCAGGGUGCCGGGAAGGGCUCCCGAGAGGUUUUUGGUGGCUACAGAGUGUUGCGGCUGCAGAACUCCUGAUCUAUCUUGAUAUUCGAUAGUUUUAGGGUACGUAGGGUUAUGUAGGCGAAAGAAGUCGGUCGGGGGGUGCUCGAGGGGUCCACGAGACAGGGGGGCGCGCCCUAUAGGAGUGGGUGUGCCCCCCUAUCUCCUGGGCUCCUAGAGGAUCUUCUUACUUGACCUCCAAGCCUCCAGGAUGAUAAUCUUCCAAAAAAUCAUGAUGCCGAAGGUUUCAUUCCGUUUGGACUCCGUUUGAUAUUCCUUUUCUUCGAAAUACUGCAACAGGCAAUAAAACAGCAAUAUGGGCUGGGCCUCCGGUUAAUAGGUUAGUCCCAAAAGUAAUAUAAAAGUGUAUAAUAAAGCCCGUAAUCAUUGAAAACAGAUAAUAAAAUAGCAUGAAUGCUUCAUAAAUUAUAGAUAUGUUGGAGACGUAUCAGCAUCCCCAUGCUUAAUUCCUACUCGUCCUCGAGUAGGUAAAUGAUAAAAGAAAGAAUUUAUGAAGUGUGAAAGCUAGAAGGUGCACAAGUUUGAUCAAUGAUAAUUUCAAUCACCUUUUCUAGCAUGAUAAUAUGUCAUAAUAGUAGUUCAUCUCAUAAAACUUUUCAUAAUCAAGUAACAAGCAAUUCACAUGUUAAAUCAUAGACCAUAAACUUUCUUGAAAACUAGCAAACUUCAUUCUUAGUCAUCAAACAAUCGCAAUUCAUCUUACUUUCAGGAAGAGUCUAUGUCAGAGCUUUGAUUUAGCAAACUUCACAUACUCAACCAUCAUAUAGUCUUCUACAAUUGCUAACACUCACACAAUACUUGUGGUUAUGAAGUUUUAAUCAUACAUAGAGAAAGAUUGGGGCUUAUAAUGUUGCCUCGAAACAUAUUCACCUUUGGGUGAUGUCAACAAUAAUAGUUCAUGCUAACGUACAUCCAAUUGGAUAUAUAUAUCAGGAUCACCCUAACACAAAGUGCUUGCCAAAGGAUAAAAUGAAAAAGGGAAAGGUGAAGAUCACCUUGACUCUUGCAUAAAUUAAAAGACAUAAAGUAAAAGAUAGGCCCUUCGCAGAGGGAAGCAGAGGUUGUCAUGCGCUUUUAGGGGUGGAUACACAAAAUCUUAAUGCAAAAGAACGUCACUUUAUAUUGCCCCUUGUAUAUGGAACUUUAUUAUGCAGUCCGUUACUUUUAUUGCUUCCAUAACAAGUUCGUACAAAGCUUAUUUUCUCCGCACUAAUAAGUCAUGCAUAUUUAGAGAGCAAUUUUUAUUGCUUGCACCGAUGAUAACUUACUUGAAGGAUCUUACUCAAUCCAUAGGUAGGUAUGGUGGACUCUCAUGGAAAAACUGGGUUUAAGGAUAUUUGGAAGCACAAGUAGUAUCUCUACUUGGUGUUAGGAAUUUUUGGCGAGCAUGAGGGGGAAAGGCAAGCUCAACAUGUUUGAAUGAUCCAUGACAAUAUACUUUAACUGAGAUGUGAGAAAACAUAACCCAUUACGUUGUCUUCCUUGUCCAACAUCAACUCUUUAGCAUGUCAUACAUAAUGAGUGCUCACAAUUAUAAAACAUGUCUAUGAUAAUAUAUUUAUAUGUGAAAUCUCUCUUCCUUCAAUAUUCUUUCAUGAAUUGUUCAAAUGACUAAUACAAUGCUUGCUAACCGUCAAUAAAUUAACAACCUCUACUUCUUAGAGGUGAAGUCAUUACUCCCCAUGGGAUAAGCAAAUGAAACAUAUAUAAUUUCUGAUUUAUGACAUUCAACUCAUUCAACCAUUUACUCAUAGGAUAUAAGUGAAGCACACGAGUAAAUGACAAACUACUCCAAAAAGAUAUAAGUGAAGAUCAAUGAGUAGCUAAAUAAUUAUGCAACUAUGUGAAGACUCUCUCUCAAAUAAGAAUUUCAGAUCUUGGUACUUUAUUCAAACAGCAAGAAAAACAAAAUAAAAUGACAUUUCAAGGAUAGCACAACUCAAGUGAAGAAGCAAAAACUUAGGCUCAACCGAUACUAACCGAUAGUUGUUGAAGAAGAAAGGUGGGAUGCCUAACGGGGCAUCCCCAAGCUUAGAUGCUUGAGACUUCUUGAAAUAUUAUAUUGGGAUGCCUUGGGCAUCCCCAAGCUUGAACUUUUAUGUCUCCUUAAUACCUCUCAUAACAUUGUUUCUUUUUAUCAAAAGCUUCAUUCACAACAAACUCAACAGGAACUCGUGAGAUAGGUUAGUAUAAACCAAUGCAAAACCUUAUCAUUUUCUACUGUAACAAAUCACUUAAAGUAUUAUUCAACAUUGAAUACUAAAUGCCACUGCAUAUUUAAUACUCCUAUCCUCAAAUAGAAUCAUUAAACAAGCAAACAUAUGCAAACAAUGCAACUAUAACAGCAAUCUACCAAAACAGUACAGUCUGUAAAGAAUGCAAGAGUAUCAAUACUUCCAUAACUCCAAAAAGUAUGAGAGAAAAUUCCCUCUGUAAUACAUUUAUCAGAUCUUAAUAUGCAGAAAGAUUCAACAUUAUACCAUUCCCUGACUUUUCUAGGGAAUUUUUGCAACAGCGGUAAACUUUCUGUUUUCAAACAGCAACAUGUAUACUAGCAAAAUAAGCAUGGCAAAGGCUAUCCUUGACUUUUUUAUUGAAACUAAAGAUGCAAAACAUUAUUAUAACUAACAUCAAGCACAAACUAGCAAAAUAAAAUGACGCUCCAAGCAAAACACAUAUCAUGUGGCGAAUAAAAAUAUAGCUCCAAGUAAAGUUACCGAUGAACGAAGACGAAAGAGGGGAUGCCAUCCGGGGCAUCCCCAAGAUUAGUUGCUUGGUUGUCCUUGAAUAGUACCUUGGGGUGCCUUGGGAAUCCCCAAGCUUAGGCUAUUUACACUCCUUAUUCAAUAGUCCAUCGAAUCUUUACCCAAAACUUGAAAACUUCAACCACACAAAACUCAAAACAAAACUCGUGAACUCCGUUAGUAUAAGAAAAUAAAACCACCACUUAGGUACUGUAAUGAACUCAUUAUAAAUUCAUAUUGGUGUAAUUAUCUACUGUAUUCUAAAUUCUCUAAGGUUCAUACCACUUAAUACUAGCCAUAGAUUCAUCAAAAUAAGCAAACAACACAUAGAAAACAGAAUCUGUCAAUAACAGAACAGUCUGUAGUAAUCUGUAUCAAACGUAUACUUCUGGAACUCAAAAAAUUCUUAAUAAAUUUCUGGACCUGAGGAAUUUGUUUAUUAAUCAUAUUCCAAAAGAAUCAACCUAAAAUCACUCACCAGUAAAAAAUGGCAGCCAUUCUCGUGAGCGCAACAGUUUCUGUUUUUUACAGCAAGAUCAUAUAGACUUCACCCAAGUCUUCCCAAAGGUUCUACUUGGCACUUUAUUGAAACAAAAGCUAUAAAACAUGAUACAACAGUAGCAUAAUAAUGUGAACACACAAAAACAGUAAGGGUAAAUAUUGGGUUGUCUCCCAACAAGCGCUUUUCUUUAAUGCCUUUCUAGCUAGGCAUGAUGAUGGCAAUGAUGCUCACAUAAAAGAUAAGAAUUGAAACAUAAAGAGAGCAUCAUGAAGAAUAUGACUAGCACAUUUAAGUCUAACCCACUUCCUAUGCAUAGGGAUUUUAUGAGCAAACAACUUAUGGGAACAAUAAUCAACUAGCAAAGGAAGGUAAAACAAGCAUAGCUUCAAAACUUUAAGCACAUAGAGAGGAAACUUGAUAUUAUUGCAUUUCCUACAAGCGUAAGUUCCUCCCUCAUAAUAAUUUUCAGUAGCAUCAUGAAUGAAUUCAACAAUAUAACCAGCACCUAAAGCAUUAUUUUCAUGAUCUACAAGCAUAGAAAAUUUACUACUCUCCACAUAAGCAAAAUUCUUCUCAUUCGGAAUAGUAGGAGUAUCAUAAGAGACUUGAACACUAAAAAUUGUUUCCACAUUAAAAGAGUAAUGUUCAGAGAAAGGGUAAUCAUAAUCAUGACAAGAUUUGUACAUAUAAUCAUCACUACUUUUUAUAUCAUAAGUUUCAUCACAAUAAUCAUGACGAGGCCCUAUGGUUACUACGCUCUUAUCUCCUCCUCGCCAGUUCCCCUCCCCCCGAAGAGAAGGCAGUUCGUCGCUGCUCCCAUGGAUUCACCAGGCAGUUCUCCUCGUCGUCGGGGCUGGGAGACCUUGGACGAUGAUCCUCUGGGAGAAAACACACGCCGCUCUGAUGUCCUCACCGCCACAAGACUCGGUGCUUCCUGCACUAACUUUUUCAAGACGGUGCUUAAACAGGGUUGGGAAAAGGCCAUGCUUGUUGUUCUUCCAUGCGUCCUCGAGGAGAAGGUUCUUCUAUGGGACAAUCCUUCAAACAGUCCACUGAUGUCUACUACACAACCUUCUUCUUGUAGACGUUGUUGGGCCUGCAAGUGCACAGGUUUGUAGGACAGUAGCAAAUUUCCCUCAAGUGGAUGACCUAAGGUUUAUCAAUCCGUAGGAGGCGUAGGAUGAAGAUGGUCUCUCUCAAGCAACCCUGCAACCAAAUAACAAAGAGUCUCUUGUGUCCCCAACACACCCAAUACAAUGGUAAAUUGUAUAGGUGCACUAGUUCGGCGAAGAGAUGAAGAUACAAGUGCAAUAUGGAUGGUAGAUAUAGGUUUUUGUAAUCUGAAAUAAUAAAAACAGCAAGGUAAACUAAUGAUAAACGUGAGCGUAAACGGUAUUGCAAUGAUAGGAAACAAGGCCUAGGGUUCAUACUUUCACUAGCGCAAGUUCUCUCAACAAUAAUAACAUAGAUAGAUCAUAUAACAAUCCCUCAACAUGCAAAAAAGAGUCACUCCAAAGACACUAAUAGCGGAGAACGAACGAAGAGAUUAUGGUAGGGUACGAAACCACCUCAAAGUUAUUCUUUCGGAUCAAUCUAUUCAAGAGUUCGUACUAGAAUAACACCUUAAGACACAAAUCAACCAAAACCCUAAUGUCACCUAGAUACUCCAUUGUCACCUCAAGUAUUUGUGGGCAUGAUUAUACGAUAUGCAUCACACAAUCUCAGAUUCAUCUAUUCAACCAACACAAAGUACUUCAAAGAGUGCCCCAAAGUUUCUACCGGAGAGUCAAGAACGUGUGCCAACCCCUAUGCAUAGGCCCUGUUCAAGAAUUCAUCCGAUUAACCAGUUAACUUGCCAAUUAAUCCCUACUCGUAGGGUCACCGAGUAGCCUAUAAACCGAUAAAUCAUCCGAUUAAUUGAUUAAAUGGCCGAUUAACUUACUGAUUAUCCGAUUAAUCCCCUACUCACCAGCCAACCGAGCAGCUACCAGUUAACGAUUUCCUCAACAAUGUGCAUAGGUUCAUGGGCGGAACCCGCAAGUUGGUCACCAAAACAUACAUCAAGAGGCACAUGAUAUCCCAUUGUCACCUCAGAUAAGCACAGCAAGACAUACAUCAAGUGUUCUUAUAAAAGACUCAAUCCGAUAAGAUAACUUCAAAGGGGAAAACUCAAUUCAACACAAGAGAGUAGAGGGGAGAAACAUCAUAAGAUCCAACUACAAUAGCAAAGCUUGGGAUACAUCAAGAUCGUGCCAUAGAGGGAACACGAGAGAGAACACGAGAGAGAGAGAGAGAGAGAGAGAGAGAGAGAGAGAGAUCAAACACAUAGCUACUGGUACAUACCCUCAGCCUCGAGGGUGAACUACUCCCUCCUCGUCACGGAGAGCGCCGGGAUGAUGAAGAUGGCCACCGGUGAAGGACCCCCCUCCGACAGGGUGCCGGGAAGGGCUCCCGAGAGGUUUUUGGAGGCUACAGAGGCUUGCGGCGGCGAAACUCCUGAUCUAUCUUCCCCGUGGAUGUUUUUAGGGUACGUGGGACUAUAUAGGCGAAAGAAGUCGGUCGGUAGGUGCUCGAGGGGUCCAUGAGACAGGGGGGCGCGCCCUGUAGGGGAGGGGGCGCCCGCCUAUCUCCUGGGCUCCUCGAGGAUCUUCUGACUUCAUCUCCAAGCCUCCAGUAUGAUAAUCUUCCAAAAAAUCACGAUGCCAAAGGUUUGAUUCCGUUUGGACUCCGUUUGAUAUUCCUUUUCUUCGAAAUACUGAAACAAGCAAUAAAACAACAAUAUGGGCUAGGCUCCGGUUAAUAGGUUAGUCCCAAAAGUAAUAUAAAAGUGUAUAAUAAAGCCCAUAAUCAUUCAAAACAGAUAAUAUAAUAGCAUGUAACAAUCAAAAAUUAUAGAUACGUUGGAGACGUAUCAAGCAUCCCCAAGCUUAAUUCCUGCUCGUCCUCGAGUAGGUAAAUGAUAAAAACAGAAUUUUUGAUGUGGAAUGCUACCUAACAUGAUUCCCAAUGUAAUUUCUCUAUUGUGGCAUGAAUGUUCAGAUCCAAGUGAUUCAAAAUAAAAGUUCAUAUUGACAAAAGAAGUAAUAAUACUUCAAGCAUACUAAGCAAAGUAAUCAUGUCUUCUCAAAAUAACAUGGCCAAAGAAAGUUAUCCCUACAAAAUCAUAUAGUCUGGCUGUUGCUCUAUCUUCAUCACACAAAGUAUUUAAUCAUGCACAACCCCGAUGACGAGCCAAGCAAUUGUUUCAUACUUUAAUAAUCUCAAACUCUUUCAACUUUCACGCAAUACAUGAGCGUGAGGCAUGGACAUAGCACUAUAUGUGGAAUAGAACGAUGGUUGUGGGGAAGACAAAAAAGGAGAAAAUAGUCUCACAUCAACUAGGCGUAUCAACGGGCUAUGGAGAUGCCCAUUAAUAGAUAUCAAUGUGAGUGAGUAGGGAUUGCCAUGCAACGAAUGCACUAGAGCUAUAAAUAUAUGAAAGCUCAACAAAAGAAAACUAGUGGGUGUGCAUCCAACUUGCUUUCUCACGAAGACCUAGGGAAUUUUGAGGAAGCCCAUCAUUGGAAUAUACAAGCCAAGUUCUAUAAUGAAAAAUUCCCACCAGUAAAUGAAAGUGACAACAUAUGAGACUCUCUAUCAUGAAGAUCAUGGUGCUAUUUUGAAGCACAAGUGUGGAAAAAGAGAUAGUAGCAUUGUCCCUUCUCUCUUUUUCUCUCAUUCCUUUUUUUUCUUUUUUUUCCUUUUUUUCUUUCUCUUUUUUUCUUUGGCCUUCUUUUUUUGGCCUUUCUUUUUCUUUCUUUUUGUAAAGUCCGAAGUCUCAUCCCGACUUGUGGGGGAAUCAUAGUCUUCAUCAUCCUUUCCUCACGAGGACAAUGCUCUAAUAAUGAAGAUCAUCACACUUUUAUGGAUUUACAACUCCAAGCUAGAACAAGAUAUGACUCUAGGUGAAUGCCUCGGGCGGUGUACCGGGAUAUGCAAUGAAUCAAGAGCGACAUGUAUGAAGAUUAUGAAGGUGGCCUUGCCACAAAUACGAUGUCAACUACAUGAUCAUGCAAAGAGCAAUAUGACAAAAGUAAUGUGUGUCAUAUGAACGGAACGGUGGAAAGUUGCAUGGAAAUAUAUCUCGGAAUGGCUAUGGAAAUGCCAUAAUAGGUAGGUAUGGUGGCUAUUUUGAGGAAGGUAUAUGGUGGGUGUAUGGUACCGGCGAAAGUUGCACGAUACAAGAGAGGCUAGCAAUAAUGGAGAGGUGAAAGAGUGUAUAAUCCAUGGACUCAACAUUAGUCAAAAGAACUCAUAUACUUGUUGUAAAAAUUUAGAAUUCAUCAAAAACCAAAGCACUACAUGCAUGCUCCUAGGGGGAUAGAUUGGUAGGAAAAGACCAUCGCUCGUCGCCGACUGCCACUCAUAAGGAAGACAUUCAAUAAAUAAAAUUGUGCUCCAACUUCAUCACAAAGCGGUUCACCAUACGUGCAUGCUACGGGAAUCACAAACUUCAACACAAGCAUUCUUUAAAUUCAUAAUCACCCAAGUAGCAUGACUUUAAUAUCACUACCUCCAUAUCUCAAAACAAUUAUCAAGCAUCAAAUUGAUCAUAGCAUCCAAUUCACUUCCUAUGAUAGUUUUCAUUCAAAUUACCAUGCUGUUUAAGACUCUCAAAAUAAUAUAAGUGAAGCAUGAGAGACUAGCAAUUUCUUCAAAAUAUAACCACCGCCGAGCUCUAAAAGAUAUAAGUGAAGCACUAGAGCAAACGACAAACUACUCCGAAAGAUAUAAGUGAAGAUCAAUGAGUAGCUAAAUAAUUAUGCAACUAUGUGAAAACUCUCUCUCAUUAAAGAAUUUCAGAUCUUGGUAUUGUAUUCAAGCAGCAAGCAAAACAAAAUAAAAUGACAAUGCAAGGAUAGCAUAACUCAUGUGAAGAAGCAAAAACUUAGGCUCAACCGAUACUAACCGAUGAUUGCCGAAGAAGAAAGGCGGGAUGCCUACCGGGGCAUCCCCAAGCUUAGAUGCUUGAGACUUCUUGAAAUAUUAUCUUGGGGUGCCUUGGGCAUCCCCAAGCUUGAGCUUUUGUGUCUCCUUAAUUCCUUUCAUGUCACGGUUUCUCUUUUUAUCAAAAGCUUCAUUCACAACAAACUCAACAAGAACUCGUGAGAUAGGUUAGUAUAGACCAAUGCAAAACCAUAUCAUCUUCUACUAUAACAAAUCAAUAAAAUUAUUAUUCAACAUUGAAUACUAAAUGUCUAUUCAUAUUUAAUACUCCUAUCCUCAAAUAGAAUCAUUAAACAAGCAAACAUAUGCAAACAAUGCAACUAUAACAACAAUCUGCCAAAACAGUACAGUCUGUAAAGAAUGCAAGAGUAUCAAUACUUCCCUGAAUCCAAAAAUUAUGAACUAAAAUUCCCACUGUAAUAAUUUAUCAGAACAUAAUAGCAAAAAGAUUCAACGUUAUACCAUUCUCUGACUUUUCUAGGGAAUUUUUGCAAGAGCGGUAAACUUUCUGUUUCCAAAUAGCAACAUGUAUACUUGCAAAACAAGCAUGGCAAAGGCUAUCCUUGACUUUUUUUAUUGAAACUAAAGAUGAAAAACAUUAUUCUAAAUAACAUCAAGCAAACACUAACAAAAGAAAAUGACGCUCCAAGCAAAACACAUAUCAUGUGGUGAAUAAACAUAUAGCUCCAAGUAAAGUUACCGAUGAACGAAGACGAAAGAGGGGAUGCCAUCCGGGGCAUCCCCAAGCUUAGGCUCUUGGUUGUCCUUGAAUAUUACCUUGGGGUGCCUUGGGCAUCCCCAAUCUUAGGCUCUUUCCACUCCUUAUUCUAUAGUCCAUCGAAUCCUUACCCAAAACUUGAAAACUUCAACCACACAAAACUCAAACAAAACUCGUAAGCUCCGUUAGUAUAAGAAAAUAAAACCACCACUUAGGUACUGUAAUGAACACAUUAUAAAUUCAUAUUGGUGUUAAACCUACUGUAUUCCAACUUCUCUAUGGUUCAUACCACUUAAUACUAGCCAUAGAUGCAUCAAAAUAAGCAAACAACACAAUGAAAACAGAAUCUGUCAAAAACAGAAGAGUCUGUAGUAAUCUGUAUGAAACGUACAGUUCUGGAACCCAAAAAAUUAUGAAAUAAAUUUGUGGGCCUGAGGAAUUUGUCUAUUAAUCAUAUGCAAAAAGAAUCAACCUAAAAUCGCUCUCCAGUAAAAAAAUGGCAGCUAAACUCGUGAGAGCUAAAGUUUCUGUUUUUUUACAGCAAGAUCACAUAAACUUCACCCAAGUCUUCCCAAAGGUUCUACUUGGCACUUUAUUGAAACAAAAGCUAUAAAACAUGAUUAAUACAGUAUCAUAAUCAUGUGGACACACAAAAACAGUAAGGGUAAAUAUUGGGUUGUCCCCCAACAAGCGCUUUUCUUUAAUGCCUUUUUAGCUAGGCAUGAUGAUGGCAAUGAUGCUCACAUAAAAGAUAAGAAUUGAAACAUAAAGGUAGCAUCUUGAAGCAUAUGACUAGCAAAUUUAAGCCUAACCCACUUCCUAUGCAUAGGUAUUUUGUGAUCAAACAACUUAGGGGAACAAUAAUCAACAAGCAUAGGAAGGUAAAACAAGCAUAACUUCAAGAUUUUCAACACAUAGAGAGGAAGCUUGACAUUAUUGCAACUCCUACAAGCAUAUGUUCCUCUCUCAUAAUAGUUUUCAGUAGCAUCAUGAAUGAAUUCAACAAUAUAACCAGCACCUAAAGAAUUCUUUUCAUGAUCUACCAGCAUAGAAAAUUUAUUACUCUCCAUAUAAGCAAAAUUCUUCUCAUUCGGAAUGGUGUGAGUAUCAUAAGAGACUUGAACACUAAAAAUUGUUUCCACAUUAAAAGAGUAAUGUUCAGAAAAAUGGUAAUCAUAAUCAUGACAAGUUUUAUAAAUAUAAUCAUCACUACUUUUUAUAGCAUAAGUUUCGUCACAAUAAUCAUCAUAAGUAGCAACUUCGUUCUCAUCAUAAUCGAUUGAAACCUCUCCCAAGAUAGUGGAAUCACUAAAUAAAGUUGACACUCUUCCAAAUCCACUUCCAUAUUCAUCACAAUAAAAUUCAACAUCCUCCAAAAUAGUGGGAUCACUAUUUCCUAAAGUUGACACUCUUCUGAACCCACUUUCAUCAAUAUAAUCAUCAUAGGUGGGAGGCAUGCUAUCAUCAUAACAACUCUGCAUAUCAAAACUUGGGAUGCUAAAAAUAUCAUCUUCAUUAAACAUAGCAUCCCCAAGCUUGGGACAAACAUCAAUUUCAGCAAAUAUAUUAUCAAAUAUUUCAUCCUCAUCAAACAUAGCUUCCCCAAGCUUGGGACCUUUCAUAUCAUAAGCAUAAUCACUCUCAUCAUUAAAAAUAUGGAUAGCACCAAUGGUAAAGCAAUUAUCAUCAUCACAACGAGUAGUAGGAGCAACAUCAUUUGGGAGGGAUACCUUUCUACCUUUUUUGCUCCUUCUUUUCUUUUUCUUCUUCACAUUAUGUGUAGGUUCAACUUUCCUCUUUGAGCUCCUUAUUGAUGAGAUUGGUUGAAUAGAACGCUCCUCCUCGUUACCUGAUUCAUCAUGAGAAAUAAUAGGAGGAUAUUGGGAAGUCUUUUCCCUUUCAUUAGUAUUCUCAUCAUCUUCUAUUUGCUUUCUUUUCUUUAUGUAAUUGGCAAUAUAAGGAUUUUCAAUGCAAUUCUCCGCACAAAACAUAUAAAUCUUCUCUAGAUCAAUAACAAGGAAAUGCCUAAGAUUAAAUUCUGGAAUAGGCUUAGUUAAACGUUUCAACUCUUCACAACCCAAAAGCAAUCUAAGUUCAUUGUAAUGAGAAGGGGAGAUCAAAUCAUCACAAUUUUUGGACACGAUCCGAUCAUGAAACAAUUUGCAUUGGAGAUGUAAAUGAUCUUGUUUUUUGCAAAAUUCACAACGGGAAAGAUAUCUUAAAUUCUCCGCACUCUUAUCUAGCCUUUAUUGCAGCCUCUUAGUUUCUAAAUACUUAUGCUUCUUGCAAUAUAUAUCUUCUCUAUUUGGUGUGUUCAUGCAAACAUGCACUCAACAAAAGUUAACAUGCUCAUAAGAUAUAUUUUCAUCAUGACUAGAGCAAUCAUCAUUAGUACUAUGGAUAUUCAAGGAGUUUAUACUAACAACAUUGCAAUCAUGCUCAUCAUUCAAAGAUUUAGUACCAGGCAUUUUAAAGCAUUCUUGUUCUAGCACUUGGGCACAAUUUUCCUUUCCAUCAAACUCACGAAAGAUAUUAAAAAGACGAAGCGUACGAGACAAACUUAACUCCAUUUUUUUGUAGUUUUCUUUUAUAAACUAAACUAGUAAUAAAACAAGAAACAAAAAGAUUUGAUUGCAAUAUCUAAAGAUAUACCUUCAAGCGCUAACCUCCCCGGAAACGGCGCCAGAAAAGAGCUUAGUUGACAGGGUGUGAGUGUGUACCCUUUACCUAGCCUCCCCGGCAACGGCGCCAGAAAAGAGCUUGAUGUCUACUACACAACCUUCUUCUUGUAGACGUUGUUGGGCCUGCAAGUGCACAGGUUUGUAGGAAAGUAGCAAAUUUCCCUCAAGUGGAUGACCUAAGGUUUAUCAAUCCGUAGGAGGCGUAGGAUGAAGAUGGUCUCUCUCAAGAAACCCUGCAACCAAAUAACAAAGAGUCUCUUGUGUCCCCAACACACCCAAUACAAUGGUAAAUUGUAUAGGUGCACUAGUUCGGCGAAGAGAUGAAGAUACAAGUGCAAUAUGGAUGGUAGAUAUAGGUUUUUGUAAUAUGAAAUAAUAAAAACAGCAAGGUAACUAAUGAUAAACGUGAGCGUAAACGGUAUUGCAAUGAUAGGAAACAAGGCCUAGGGUUCAUACUUUCACUAGCGAAGUUCUCUCAACAAUAAUAACAUAGAUAGAUCAUAUAACAAUCCCUCAACAUGCAACAAAGAGUCACUCCAAAGACACUAAUAGCGGUGAAUGAACGAAGAGAUUAUGGUAGGGUAUGAAACCACCUCAAAGUUAUUCUUUCGGAUCAAUCUAUUCAAGAGUUCGUACUAGAAUAACACCUUAAGACACAAAUCAACCAAAACCCUAAUGUCACCCAGAUACUCCAUUGUCACCUCAAGUAUCCGUGGGCAUGAUUAUACGAUAUGCAUCACACAAUCUCAGAUUCAUCUAUUCAACCAACACAAAGUACUUCAAAGAGCGCCCCAAAGUUUCUACCGGAGAGUCAAGAACGUGUGCCAACCCCUAUGCAUAGGUUCAUGGGCGGAACCAGCAAGUUGGUCACCAAAACAUACAUCAAGAGGCACAUGAUAUCCCAUUGUCACCUCAGAUAAGCACGGCAAGACAUACAUCAAGUGUUCUCAUAAAAGACUCAAUCCGAUAAGAUAACUUCAAAGGGGAAAACUCAAUUCGUCACAAGAGAGUAGAGGGGAGAAACAUCAUAAGAUCCAACUACAAUAGCAAAGGUCGGGAUACAUCAAGAUCGUGCCAUAGAGGGAACACGAGAGAUAACUCGAGAGAGAGAGAUCAAACACAUAGCUACUGGUACAUACCCUCAGCCUCGUGGGUGAACUACUCCCUCCUCGUCAUGGAGAGCGCCGGGAUGAUGAAGAUGGCCACCGGUGAAGGAUCCCCCCUCCGGCAGGGUGCCGGGAAGGGCUCCCAAGAGGUUUUUGGUGGCUACAGAGGCUUGCGGCGGCGGAACUCCCGAUCUAUCUUCCCCAUGGAUGUUUUAGGGUACGUGGGACUAUAUAGGCGAAAGAAGUCGGUCGGGAGGUGCUCGAGGGGUCCACGAGACAGGGGGCACGCCCAGUAGGGUGGGCACGCCCCUAUAUCUCCUGGGCUCCUCAAGGAUCUUCUGACUUCAUCUCCAAGCCUCCAGGAUGAUAAUCUUCCAAAAAAUCACGAUGACGAAGGUUUCAUUCCGCUUGGACUCCGUUUGAUAUUCCAUUUCUUCGAAAUACUGAAACAGGUAAUAAAACAAGAAUAAGGGUUGGGCCUCCGGUUAAUAGGUUAGUCCCAAAAGUAAUAUAAAAGUGUAUAAUAAAGCCCAUAAUCAUUCAAAACAGAUAAUAUAAUAGCAUGGAACAAUCAAAAAUUAUAGAUACGUUGGAGACGUAUCAUCCACCGCUCCCUGGCCAUGGUUGCACGUUGACUCCGCUAGAGUUGUCGACGUUGAGAGGUAGUCGGAUUUUAUCCGAUGAGCAGGUCAAUCAUGGAGUUUGAUCAUGUAGUACUUAGUUAUUCCAUUUCCAUCCCGUAAUUUCUCCGCUGCCCACUGUCUUAUAUAUAGGUAUGGGUCGGUGCCAACGUAUAUUGGCUUGCAUACCUCUGGCCGGAUACCACCAUCAUUUUGCACAACAUCCACAGCAAUGCGGCCGUUCCCGUAGACCCAUACUCCACCAUUGAGAUCGGCCUUCCGGCCUGGCUGGUCUUGAAUACGUAUGAUGAUGCCUACAUGAGAUUGAAGAAGAUAGCAAUUGCGGACCUGUCGACAAAGCGACGCGGCUACGACGAUUACUAUCUCAUCGCAGUGUUCGACAUAAGGAUUGCCAUCAAUGCAAGAGGCAGUAACAGAAGAGGCUGGCGCAUGUGGGCCAUGGCAGAUUUGUACCCCUACAUGUUCGGAGACGUCGUGCGCCAUCUAGGCCGCAUCUUCGUGGUGACAAGCCAGUGGACUUGUUUCAUCUGGUUGCGAUCCUAUAGUACAGGAGAUUACAAACGGAAUGCACAAACCAUCAUUUGCAUCCCUAACGGUACUCCAUUAUUUUGCAGGGACCAGUCAUCCCCCGAUCAAAAUAAGAUCGCCGAUCCUGGAUGUGCAUUUGCAUCCGCAAUUCGGUCUAACCUGGAACCUUGUAGCUGACUUUGGCAUAUUGGGAUCAACUAUCUUAGCAGUCAUUACCCAUGGUACCACUGAUGUGCAACAUGGUCAGACAAUCUACCACGAUCGGACCGUCACCAUCUACCCAGGUAUUCCAUUUAGUAUUAUAUUUUUUAACCCUCUCGCCUUCUCUUUCAUUGUUGUACUACUUACUAGUACUAGUAGGAGUACUUUUUACCUUGGAGGACGUGUAUAGCUAGCUAGGCCCUUGAAGACUUGAACCCACUAGCUGCCACCACUUUUGUUUUUCCAUGUCUUACCAUCUCAUCCAUGUAGCCAAGAGUGGCUAUAUAUAAUAAGCCGGUUAUUUUACUUCCGUUAUACCGGAGUAGUACUAUUUGCUGCACAGUAUUACUGACCGCCAUAUUGGACAACAUUAUUAUGCAUGGACCUUGACUAUGUACGUCACCAUGUGUCCAGAUCUGAGAUACCGCGUGUACCAGAUGAAUGAUGCCGAGUUUGACCCCCGUGAUGCUACGUGGGUGCCAAGGAACACUCUUGGAGAGUACUCGCUUUUCAUUGGGGACAGCUACCCCAUUGUGAAGCAGGUGCCACCUUCCGUGCAUGACACCGAAGGCCUACCGUUCAUGAAGCAUGGUUGUGUCUUCAGUGCGCACCACCGGAUGAACGACAUGUUGGGACAUACUAUCCCUGAUUUAUGCCGCUUCAGCUUGGAUGAGUCUCCAUCGUGUGGAACCGGACUAGAAAGCUGUGAUAAUGAUUCCCGUUGCCCACCGCUAUGGAUCGUGCCAUCCAUGAAGAACACCUGGGACUGGAACCUGGAGGAGGACAUGUGGCCCAUCUAUAACGUGUAAGUGGACUAUGGUAAAUUGUGAACGGUAGCGCUGUGAAUAUAUGUAGACUAGUCGUGCACAAAUUUAUCACAUGAAUUGGAGAUGAACUUGUGUGGCAUAUUGGCAUUUGUCCAUUAGAAUUUAUUACUAGUAAAUGUGUUAUGUGUACAUGCAACUUGUGUGGUUGUUGCACGGGCUCCAACAUGCUCUUUGAGAAAAAAGGUGGCACAACUUUGGAUAUAGGUGACAUGGCGGCAUCAUACAGUAGGAUCAUUCGCUAUAGUUGUAGUAUACUCCUACUAGGAUGAAAACUCCUAUAAAACCUUGCGCUUGGCUCUUUGCCUCUUCAGGAGGUUCAACAGUUCGUUGUGUGAACCUUGCACUUGGCUCUUCGCCUCUUCGGAAGGUCCAACAAUGAUGAUACUACAGUACAAUAUGCUUCUGGCAAUCUGACACCGAUUGAACUACUGCACGUCCACCGCGAGGGUGAGGGUGAGGGUGAGGGCAAGGGCGAGGGAGAGGGAGAGGGAGAGGGAGAGGGCGAUGUAGUCAAAACCCUCUCCUCGUGAUGCGAGCCAUCAUGCGCGUGGGCGAGGGAGAGGCGUAGUAAGCAAGCUUCUCCUCGUUCGGCGAGUUGACGGGACACAUGAAAGCAGUACUAGUACUAGUCCAUACUGCGCCCUUUCCGGUUAAUAUGGCUUAAUUCGAAAUGAGAAAAAUACACUGGCGGUCAACGUAUGUAACAAUACACUCUUUAUGGUCACUAUAUAUAGUUUUGCGGUGAUUAUACGAUCACUAGCUCAUCGUAGAGCACCGUAUUGCACCCUACUGACUGGCCACAUAGUCGACGUGGCACUUUCUUGACUGGUUAAAUUGUCACCUGGUUUCUGGGUCCCACAUGUCAGUUGGCAGAGCAAAGAAAUCAGUUAAAAAAACUUUACGCAGGCAUGACAGGAGUCCAACCCUUGCGCGUGAACCACCCUAGCUGUGUAUGUGAGUGCAUGCACGUGUACUCCCUCGGGCUUCCAACAAAGAGUGUACAUCGGCUAAAAAACAAAGAGUGUACAUAUACACUUCCAAUGCAUUUAGCCUUUAAUCUAAAUCGAUAUUGAUUGACUAAUGCACCAACUUGUGCUCUUAGGCUACAUGUCUAUCCUUAAUUACAGCAUGCAAAAACCUUCAUCUAAUCUUCUUCUCUCAAUGGUCGCAUGCACACAUAAGUCGGCUACUUUUGGGCAUUAAUUAUGCCCUGGUCAAUGUGUAAAUCUCUAAAUGUACAGUCUUUCACGAACGUAGGGAGUAGGUUGAGCACUUGAGCGUGAGCGUGUGUAUUUCGUCGCGUGAUGUGUGCCGCAUGGGUGCCUGAGUGUUGCAUGCGUCCAUGUGUACGUGUGAGUGUUGCAUGUUGCAUGCAUGCAUGAGGCUUUUACUCCCUCCCAUUGACAUGUUCAUAUUUCAAGCUUCCUCUAUUGCCUCCAUAUGGUGAUACUCCCUCUGUUCCCAAAUAUGGAGUAAAAGCCUCCCUCUAUUCCCAAAUACGGAGUAUUCAUCUGUCUAGAGAUUUCAAGACUACGUACAGAGCAAAAUGAGUGAAGUGAUCGUAGAGGCAUCGGGAUACUGUAGAUAGGAAGUCUUCGCUAUCCAUUAUUCCCCAUCUCGGCCAGAGAGAACUAUUCAACUAGUCUUUGCAGUGAAGUGACAAUACACGCUACAGCAGAUGGGACACUUAAUUUAUAAGCUAAACCAACGUGUUGGUGUUACUAAAUCAGCCUUACCCAGUACUGCCAUCAUGUUUGCCAGUAGAGAACGCUUCCGCAAAUACGCAUACGCACCUCUCUCCUCCAUUAACUGACAUAUGGGCUCUCUUGAGGUAGACCCACAUGUCAUCGGUGUAACUAUUUACACUCCGAAGGACGGUAUAUCCUGGUAGUAGUACUAGUAGAAUUGAGAUUUAAUGCACUUUCUUCCCCGUCUUUCACUCUUCUUCCUCCUCUCUUCUUAUUCCUCCUCUCUUCCCCAUCGUCGGCCACACACCAUUUACCCCUGCUCACUGCUCGCCCGCCCGCGCCAUCUUCCUUGGUAGCUCGCGCGUACCAUAUCCCCCCGCUCACUGCUUGGCCACAUGAGGAGAAGCUUCUUCGCUCGCCCGCCCGAAUCCACUUCCCCACUGGCUCACAGGCACCAAAAACCCCAAUGGCAGAACCGACUAACACGCAGAGCCGCAAUUGGAAUUCCCUCCCUGAUGUUCUCUUGGAGCAUAUCUGUAAUUGUAUGGACCUACUCAGCACCGUCCAUCUGGCCGCAUGCUCGGUGUCUUUGUACCGUCUACUCAUCUGCAACCGGCCAGAUAUUUUCAAGACACCCUGCUUGCUGAUGCCCAAUCCUUGCAGUUGGCCCAGAAACCGACUUUACGAUCCUACGGAGGUUGCCGUGGUGCCCCUCGACAUGCUACCUGAGGGAGUCCUGGAUUAGGGGGUGUCCGGAUGGCCGGACUAUGACCUUUGGCCGGACUCCCGGACUAUGAAGAUACAAGAUUGAAGACUCCGUCCCGUGUCCGGAUGGGACUGUCCUUGGCGUCGAAGGCAAGCUUGGCGAUACGAUAUGAAGAUCUCCUCCCAUUGUAACCAACUCUGUGUAACCCUAGCCCUCUUCGGUGUCUAUAUAAACCGGAGAGUUUUAGUCCGUAGGACGAACAACAAUCAUACCAUUGGCUAGCUUCUAGGGUUUAGCCUCUCUGAUCUCGUGGUAGAUCCACUCUUGUACUACCCAUAUCAUCAAUAUUAAUCAAGCAGGAGUAGGAUUUUACCUCCAUCGAGAGGGCCCGAACCUGGGUAAAAACAUCGUGUCCCUUGUCUCCUGUUACCAUCCGCCUAGACGCACAGUUCGGGACCCCCUACCCGAGAUCCGUCGGUUUUGACACCGACAUUGGUGCUUUCAUUGAGAGUUCCUCUGUGUCGUCGCCCUUAGGCCCGAUGGCUUCUUUGAUCAUCAACCACGACGCGGUCCAGGGUGAGACUUUUCUCCCCGGACAGAUCGCCGUAUUCGGCGGCUUCACACUGUGGGCCAACUCGCUUGGCCAUCUGGAGCAGAUCGAAAGUUACGCCCCUGGCCAUCAGGUCAGGUUUGGAAGCUUAAACUACAUGGCCAACAUCCGCGGGGACUUGAUCUUCGACGGAUUCGAGCCAUGACCGAGCGUGCCGCACUGUCUCGAUGGGCAUGAUCUAGCUCUGCCGCCAGACAGUGCCUAGAGCGCCGCUCAGGUGUCCGCUCCGACCAUUAGCCCGGAGCCGACUGCGCUAACUAGGGACGGACGGUUAGACGCCGCCCCAGGAGCCGCAAUCUCUACGGCGAUAGAGCCGAAUACCAACCUAGUCCUUUGCAAGGCCUGGGACUCCAGGGUGCCGGACUCCGUUCCGGACUCCGUAUAUCCCGCACCUCUUCCGAUCGAACCCGGUUGGGCUCCAAUCAUGGAGUUCACCGCCACAGACGUCUUUCAGCAAUCGCCCUUUGGCGAUAUCCUGAAUUCACUAAAGUCUCUCUCUUUGUCAGGAGAGCCCUGGCCGAACUAUGGUCAGCAUGGUUGUGAUACGGACGAUGAAGAAAUUUGAGGCCCACCCACCACCCACUUCGUAGCCACUGUCGACGAUUUAACCGACAUGCUCGACUUUGACUCCGAAGACAUCGACGGUAUUAACGCCGAUGAAGGAGACGACCAAGAACCAGCACCUAUAGGGAACUGGAAAGCCACCUCGUCAUAUGACAUAUACAUGGUGGACACCCCCAAAGCAGGGGAUGGCGAGGAAAAAACGAAGGAUGACCCCUCCAAGAAGCAACCCAAGCGCUGACGUCCGCGGCACCGCUCUAAGUCCCGCCAAAGCAAAAAUGGUGAUUCUGGCACCGGAGAUAACAACACGCCGGACAGUGCCGAAGACAACCCCCUCCAGCAGGAUUCAGUGCAGGAGGAUGAAGGAGCCAGCCCUCAUGAGAGAGCGGCCGAUAGAGAGGUCGAGGACGACAAUUAUAUGCCUCCCUCCGAAGACGAGGCAAGCCUCGACGGCGACGAAUUCGCCGUGCCAGAGGAUCCCGUCGAACAAGAGCGUUUCAAACGCAGGCUUAUGGCCACGGCAAGCAGCCUCAAGAAAAAACAGCAGUAGCUUAGAGCUGACCAAGACUUGCUAGCUGACAGAUGGACUGAAGUCCUGGUGGCCGAAGAGUAUAAACUCGAGCCCCCCUCCAAGAGCUACCCAAAGCGCAGACUGCUACCCCAACUUGAGGAGGAAGCAACUAAACCUACAUCACCAGCGUACGAUGCGCCCGAUCGGCCACCCUGUGUCCGCGAUAGAGAGGCCUUCAGGCCCUUGACCCAAGCCGCACCCCGGCACCGCUCAAAACAUACCAGAGUACGGGGAGACGCAACAGACAUGCGAGACAUAUUGGAGAAUAAGGCAAGGCAAGCAAGAUCGAUCUACAGAUCGCAUGGGCGCCCCGCUUCACAUGACGCUAGCCGUCACGCCGGACAAGAUAAGUACGGCCAGGCCAAACACAACAGACCAAGCUCAUCUGAGCUGCGUCGUGAUAUAGCCCAAUACAGGGGCGCCGCACACCCACUAUGCUUCACACACGAAGUAAUGGAUCAUCAAAUCCCCGAGGGAUUUAAACACGUGUACAUCAAAUCAUACGAUGGCAUAACAGAUCCUGCGGUAUGGAUCGAGGAUUAUCUCCUUCAUAUCCACAUGGCUCGUGGUGAUGAUCUACAUGCCAUCAAAUACCUCCCGCUCAAGCUUAAAGGACCAACUCGACAUUGUCUUAACAGCCUGCCAGCAGAGUCAAUUAGUUGCUGGGAGGACCUGGAAUCCGCAUUCCUUGACAACUUCCAGGGCACUUAUGUGCGACCACCAGACACCGAUGACCUAAGCCACAUAAUCCAGCAGCCAGAGGAAUCGGCCAGGCAAUUCUGGACAUGGUUCCUAACUAAGAAAAAUCAAAUAGUCGACUGUCUGGACACCGAGGCCCUUGCUGCCUUCAGGCAUAACAUCCGAGACGAAUGGCUUGCCCGGCACCUAGGACAGGAAAAGCCGAAAUCUAUGGCAGCCCUCACGACACUCAUGACCCGCUUUUGUGCAGGAGAAGACAGCUGGCUAGCUCGCAACAAUAACAUAACCAAGAGCCCUGGCAAUUCGGAUACCAAGGACAACAAUGGCAGGUCACGUCACAACAAGCACAAGCGCCACAUUAACAGCGACAAUACUGAGGAUACAACAGUCAACGCCGGAUUCAGAGGCUCUAAACCUGGUCAGCGGAAGAAGCCAUUCAAAAGAAACCCUCCGGGCCCAUCCAACUUAGACCAGAUACUCGACCGCUCGUGCCAGAUACACGGCACCCCCGAACAACCAGCCAACCACACCAACAGGGAUUGUUGGGUGUUCAAGGAGGCAGGCAAGUUAAGUGCCAAAACCAGAGACAAGGGCUGCAUAGCGAUGACGAGGAGGAGCCCCGGCCGCCGAACAACAGAGGACAGAAGGGAUUCCCCCCGCAAGUGCGGACGGUGAACAUGAUAUACGCAACCCACAUCCCCAAAAGGGAGCGGAAGCGUGCUCUCAAGGACGUCUAUGCGUUGGAGCCAGUCGCCCCAAAGUUCAACCCAUGGUCCUCCUGCCCGAUCACUUUUGAUCGAAGGGACCAUCCCACUAGCAUCCGUCACGGCGGAUUCGCCGCAUUGGUCCUAGACCCGAUCAUUGACGGAUUUCACCUCACCAGAGUCCUGAUGGACGGCGGCAGCAACCUGAACCUGCUUAAUCAGGAUACAUUGUGAAAAAUGGGUAUAGAUCCCUCAAGGAUUAAACCCACAAAGACAACCUUUAAAGGCAUCAUACCAGGUGUAGAAGCCAGCUGUACAGGCUUGGUUACACUCGAAGUGGUCUUCGGAUCCCCGGAUAAUUUCCAAAGCGAAGAGUUAAUCUUUGACAUAGUCCCAUUCCGCAGUGGCUAUCACGCCCUGCUCGGACGAACCGCAUUUGCAAAAUUCAAUGCGGUGCCGCACUACGCAUAUCUCAAGCUCAAGAUGCCAGGACCUCGCGGAGUCAUCACGGUAAAUGGAAACACCGAACGCUCUCUCCGAACGGAGGAGCACACGGCAGCCCUGGCGGCGGAAGUACAGAGUAGCCUCUCAAGGCAAUUCUCCAAUCCAGGCGUCAAACGUCUGGACAACGUCAAGCGAGCCCGAAGUAACCUACAACAAAUCCAACUGGCACGUCCCGAGCAAGCAUAGCAGUGCGGCCCCAACCCCAGCCCUCGCCAGAUGGUGAUAUCGUUACCAUGCAUACAUAAUUACGCCUUAGAGAUACCGUGGGCAUAAGGGGAGGGGCACAAUUACGGCACUCCCAGAAUGCGGCUCAACCGCACUAAGGGGCUCCCUAUUCCGCCGUUUCCUUUUUAUACACUUUCAGGACCCAACUAUUCGGAAGGCCUGUCCGGCAACACACUCGCCGACCAUACGAUGAAACAACCAGGGAGAAAACAAGCCGCGUCAAAUGUCCAGGUGGUCUCUAUAACGAGCUUAAUACCUGUUUUACUUAAAAUCCCGCAGCUUGCCCCUGGAGGGGGACAUGUCAAAUAAUCCCAUCUCUUGCUUAUCACACUACUGGUAUCGUUCUGCUUUCGCAGCAGCCCUUUUUUAGUAAACAAUACAUAGCUCUUAUCUAUUAUUGUACUCAUUUAUUUUUUAUAUAUACAAAUAUGUUCAGUCAUGACAUUCUGCAACCGUACACUUUGGUACGGCCAAUACACCAGGGGCUUAAGCACCCCAUAACAUGGUGUGAGAAGACCGAACACUCUCAUGAGUGCGGCACCCCGAACUUAUAGCACUAUAUGCAUCGGCUCCGAAUCAUAUCUUUGGUCAAUAGUUGGGUUUGCCCGGCUCCCAUGUUUUGGUACCUUACGUUCCGCAAUGUUGGCUAAGGUAGCGCUGGGAGAACUACUGCGAUUGUGCCCCAGUUGAGCUGGGUUAACACCUCAGUAGAGAAAGCUAAAACUGACCGUCAUGAUAGUGCGAGAGACCGGUCGCUGCUCGCGAGGUUUUUCGAGUCCUUAAAGACUUAUGCCGCUUAGAGCGAGGAACCGGACUUAUCCGGCCUAGGCGUGGAUAGCGCCCCGAACUCGGUCUUCUGAAUACUAGGGGCUUCGCUGAAAUUUAAAAUUAUAGAAUUCUAUGGCCAAGUGAGAGUGAUAAAGCAUUAUAAGUCCGACGGCCUGGUUCGUUGUGCUGAGCGCCUCCCUAGAUGGACCCAAGAAUGGGAACAAGAGCGCUCAGGUUUAUCCCGAACACCCCAGCACUCGUGGCAUGGGGGUCGAAGCUGACGACUUGCAUCUCUCACAUUUGAUAAAUGACCGCACAGAAGGUAAUAUUUUAAAUUAACAAGCGUUGCUUAACGCAUAUGAACAAAGUUUUCAGCGUACAGGAUAACAGAUGCGAGUCUACUCAAAUAUUACAUCUUUGGAGCAUUCGUCCGCUAUACGGCGAGCACCCUUCAGGACGCCCUUAUAAUACAUCUCGGGCGUACGAUACUCCUUGCACGGCGGUGGCGCGUCCGUCAAAAGCUUCUCAGCGUCCAGCUUGCCCAAGUGCACUUUGGCACGGGGAAGGACCCGACGGGCACCUUCGAUAUAGACGGAGCGCUUGACGACCUCAAUCCACGGACAUGCGUCCACCAGCCACCGCACCAGACCGAAGUAGCUCCCAGGCAUGGCUUCUCCAGGCCAGAGCUGAGCUAUGAGGCCCUUCAUGGCCUGUUCGGCCACCUUGUGGAGCUCGACCAGCUGCUUCAGCUGGUCGCUCAGGGGCACCGGAUGCUCGGCCUCAGCAUACUGAGACCAGAACACCUUUUCCGUCGAUCUCCCCUCUUUGGCUCGGUUGUAUGCGGCGGCAUCAGACACACUACGGGGCAGAUCGGCGAACGCUCCUGGAGAGCUCCGGAUUCGGGUAAGUAGCAGAUAAUUAACUUUUAUAUACUUCCUUUGCAUAAAGAAUGCCUUACCCGCCACUAUCUUCUUCAUCGCCUCGAUCUCCUGGAGGGCCUUCUGGGCUUCGGCCUUAGCGUUUUUGGCACUCUCAAGAGCCAAGGUGAGCUCAGACUCUCGAGUCUUCGAGUCACGCUCCAAACUCUCGUGUUUUUCCACGAGAGCCUGGAGCUCUUGCCGCACCGCCGCCACCCGCGCCUCCUGCUUCUCUCGCUCGGUGCGCUCCAGGGCCACACUAUUUUCGGCCUUUGAGACUGCCUCCUUCAGGGUCGCCACCUCGGCUAUGGCCCCUGCAACAUUUAAGUUGGUCCUGUCAUUAUUUGCAACCAAGUAUUUCUAUAUACAUUUACAUGCGGUAUUACAUACCCUCCUUGUCCUCGAGCUGCUUCUUGGCACGGCCGAGCUCGUUCUCGGACCGCUCGAGGUUCUCUUUCAAGGCAUUGACCUCUGCAGUCAGUGCGGCAGAGGUCAACAGCGCAGCCUGCAUUCCCAUAUUGACAUAUUUUUAUUAGACUCUUACGUAUAUCUUUUUAGAUCCUCAACUCGGCUUUUCUUUUCGAACGCCGAACUGAGCAUCAUGGGCUACUGUCUAUGUGGUAACAUUUUUAUAUGUUUUUUAACACAUACCUCAAAGCCUGUUAACAGGCUUGUACAGGCUUCUGUCAGCCCGCUCUUGGCGGACUAAACCUUCUGAAUCACCGCACUCAUAACAGUAGGUGUUCCUCGUCGACGGAGGCGCCGUUAAGCACCUCCAGUAAAUUGUCCGACACCUCCGGAUGGACGGGGGUCACCGGAGUCGUAGGCUUGCCCUUCUUAUGAAGGCGCCGCCUAUUGGACUCUGGAACCAUUGAUGGUUCCGGAGCAGUGUCCGGCCAGGGGCCGGACUCAGAUCCCUCCGGGGCUUUACCCCCUUCAGGCCUGGAGUCCGGGAGAUCGCCUUGCGGCGCCUCCAGGACCACCUCCUCCUGGUUUAGUCCCUUUCGGGACUCCACCUCGGCGUCGUCCGCAGGGAGUGGGGAGGAGGCCAUCGGAAGCGAAUUGUUAUUCACGUCCGACGAAUUCGGGGAGCCGCUCGACGAAUCGCCGAGCUGAGCUCUGGGCGGACUGCAUAAUUAAAUUCGGCGUCAGAAAAUGCCAAAUAAUGGAGAAGCGCCAUAAGUUAUUCAAAUAUCCGGAUGCUUACGAUUUUGCCAGGGGCUUGACCCUAGAUGGCCAUUCCUCCCUGCCGUCUUUGACAUCGGAGGCAUAGUCCGGCAGAAGGGUCUUCCCCUUCUUGGACCCUCCGGCCUCCCCAGUUGGGGCGGCCUUUCUUUUCUUUCCUCCCCCCGUUGAAGGGGGAGAGGCUUCUUCUUCUUCUUCUUCCUCCUCCUCGUCUUCGGAGGCGGAGGGUGCGUCGGGGUUGUCGGGUGAAUCUGACACCGCCAGGCGCCGGGAACUCUUUCGGGUCCCCGUGGCCUUCUUCUCCGGCACCACGUGGGGUGCCGGAACCAGCAGCGUCGUUAAGCGAGUGUCCGCUGGGUCUUCGGGCAAGGGAUCCGGACAGUCGAUCUGUCCGGCCUUCUUCUACCAAUCCUGCUAAAGAGAUGGGAGUUUAGAUCCCGCAUAGAAUCAAAUCUAUGAAAAACAAAUACCCCGUAAAGGGAAAAUUAAGCUCACCGCGCUAGCUUGGCGCUUGGCACAGAAUCCGUGAUCCUCGGUGACGGGAGGGGAGACCUCGGAACUCUUGAAUAGCACCUUCCAGGCAUCCUUGUGCUUUGUGUCGAAGAGCCGAGACAGAGUCUGGUGCUGGGCCGGGUCGAACUCCCACAAGCUGAAAACCCGUCGUUGACACGGGAGAAUCCGGCGGAAGAGCAUGACCUGGACUACGGUGACAAGUUUAACCUUCCUGCAGAUCAGGUCUUUGAUGCAGGUUUGAAGUCCGGUCACUUCCGCCGAAUUACCCCACGACAGGCCCAUCUCUUUCCAAGAUGUGAGCCGUGUGAGGAUGCCAGAUCAGAAUUCGGGGGCCACUGCCCAUUCUGGGUCACGCGGCUUGGUGAUAUAGAACCACCCCGAUUGCCACCCUUUGAUAGUCUCUAUGAAGGCGCCCUCGAGCCAUGUAACGUUGGCUAUCUUUCCCACCGUGGCGCCUCCGCACUCCGCUUGGCGGCCGCCCACGACCUUCGGCUUGACGCUGAAGAUCUUCAGCCAUAGGCCAAAAUGAGGCUGGAUGCGGAGGAAGGCCUCGCACACGACGAUGAACACCGAGAUGUUGAGGAUGAAGUUCGGGGCCAGAUCGUGGAAGUCCAGGCCGUCAUAGAACAUGAGCCCCCAGACGAACGGAUGGAGAGGAAAACCCAGUCCGCGGAGGAAAUGGGGAAGAAAAACAACCCUCUCAUGGGGCCUGGGGGUGGGGAUGAGUUGCCCCACAUCUGAAAGCCGGUGCACGAUGUCGUCGGACAGGUAUCCGGCCUUCCUCAGCCUUUUGAUUUGCCCCUCCGUGACGGAGGAGGCCAUCCAUCUACCUCCCGCUCCGGACAUGAUUGGAGAAUGUCAAGGUGGGAAUUGCGGGCUUGGGCGUUGGAGCUCGAGCGCGCAGGGACGAAUAAGCAAAGGAGGAAGAAGGCGUGAAUGGAAAGGGCGGAUUCUUAUCCCCUUAUAUGGGUGGCCGAAACUACGAGCCCCCACCAGCCUAAAUAAAACUCGCUUAUCUCCCAAGCGCCGCGGUUAAUGGCGUGGUUGGGUUACCCACGCCCGUAUUGAUGAGAAUCCCGGAAUAAGGGGACACGAUCUCUGCUUUGACAUGACGUGCCAAGGAAACCGCCUCGCUAAACGCGCUGACGUGGAACGGUAAAAUGAAUGAAAGCCUGGCCGUGGCAUGAUGUCACGCUGCGGGGUACGUCAGCAGAUUAAAUUGGUGCAAAUAUUAUUCCUUCUACGGUGGCAUGUGGAACUUAUUUUGCAGAGCCGGACACUAUCCUGGUGUUCAACAUCUUCUAUGAAGUAUUCGGUGGAGGAACCCGCCUUGCAAUGCCGAAGACAACUUGCGUGCCGGACUCGUCGUCAUUGAAGCCUGGUUCAGGGGCUACUGAGGGAGUCUUGGAUUAGGGGGUGUCCGGAUGGCCGGACUAUGACCUUUGGCCGGACUCCCGGACUAUGAAGAUACAAGAUUUAAGACUCCGUCCCUUGUCCGGAUGGGACUUCCUUGGCGUGGAAGGCAAGCUUGGCGAUAUGAUAUGAAGAUCUCCUCCCAUUGUAACCGACUCUGUGUAACCCUAGCCCUCUCCGGUGUCUAUAUAAACCGGAGAGUUUUAGUCCAUAGGACGAACAACAAUCAUACCAUAGGCUAGCUUCUAGGGUUUAGCCUCUCUGAUCUUGUGGUAGAUCCACUCUUGUACUACCCAUAUCAUCAAUAUUAAUCAAGCAGGAGUAGGGUUUUACCUCCAUCGAGAGGGCCCAAACCUAGGUAAAAACAUCGUGUCCCUUGUCUCCUGUUACCAUCCGCCUAGACGCACAGUUCGGGACCCCCUACCCGAGAUCCGCCGGUUUUGACACCUACACUACCACUAACCGUCCACCUGUCCUUCAUGCGCGGCCACUACUGGGCAGGCAUGAAGGCCAACUAGAUCGUCCUCAUCCACCAAUCCGGUAGUCCGUGGUGUCUCGUGGAUAUAUACACCCAGCGAGAGAUCACCCUUCCAUCAUUGGAUAUCGCCGCCAUCGAGCCUCACGGCCCGCGGACACUCCUGCCUACUAUGCACGAGACGUGUCAAGCUUUUAGCUCGGCCUCUAUUUGCUGAAGGUUGUAAUCUGCGAAGUGCCCACACCAUCAGAAGACUACAUGGAUUACAAGCUCAUUGCCUUGUUCAACAUGAGAUUAGUCUUUCUGGAAUCCGGUCUCCAAACAUGGUUAUGGCUCAUCGUCAAUCCUAUAGAGGCAACAUUUCUGAAGUUAUAGUGCACGAUGGCAUUGUUUAUGCGGUAGACACACAGAUUGGCUGCCUAUACUGGUGGAAUCUAUCAUCGUGUAAUUGUUCUAUCUCAUCUCAUCUUUACCUUAUGAAUACAACUGCAUGUUCAUUGUUACAAAUUUAGAAUAGAUAGUAUGUCUAUAACCACAUCAUUGCUAUAUGUUCCUCUCAUUUCCUAGAUUUUUAUGACCACACAUGUUAUUGUUAGAGUUGAUGUGAGAACAAUUGUCAUCUAAUGAUUAUUAGAAUAGAUAUUAUGAGCUUAACCUGAUGAUUGCUAGAUGUUACUCUCAUUUCCAAGAUUUUUAUAACAACCCAUGUUAUUGCUUAGUGUUGAUAUGAGAAUUGUAGUAAGUGCUAUUGCAGAAUAUGAGUAGGCCCUCUCAUAGCUGUUUUCCUCUCAUUGUUACAUGUUGUUUGAACCAUGACAUAUUUCUAGAAUAUGAAAGCCAUUGGCUUAUUUUUUUUUAACUUGGGGUAUGAUUAUUACCACGGCAUUGCAAUUAUGUGUCUAUGAUAUGUGUCACUGUUAUAAUAAUCUUAAUUCCACACAUACUCUGAAUAUGAUUGUUUAUUUUUAUCCUUUUGGUCUCCAUUUGAAUUGUUGCAGCAGACGCAAAUGCGCUGGCAUUCAUGAUUCCAGGACCUGGAAUCACACCAGUCAAUGGGUGGUGGUUUAUCACUUGUUCAGCUGACGACGGUCAUUUGAUGCUCAUUCGCACGUACCAAAUUGACCAAACCAUUACAUCAAACCACAUGCAGUACAAUGCCUGGGGCAUUCGGAAGAUCCCAGCUCUGUUGGGCCAGGCGCAUUCAACUGGAGGUGGGUUUACAGCCUCGGCAACCACUCCAUGUUCCUCGGGCUCAAUUAUCUGAUCAUCCAACCAAUCAUCGAUCAUAUCACCGGCGAUGAUUACCAUGCUAUGCAACUUUCAUUCGCCAGGGGGGCUGUGUUUACACAUCAUAUCAUGGGUUUCAUGAAUCACCAUAUCUAGAGAUUCUUCGACACAGCUUGUUGCCAAGUAAUCUUCAGUGUGUGAAAGGCAUCAAGCUUCCAUGCGAUGGAUGGCUUUUGCAAACCCGACAUGCGGCGAUGUGGUUCAUGCCAACAGCAAAUAUGCGCAACUUGAUUCGUACUGAUAUCUAGACUGAGCCAUGUAUUCUGCUAUUGUAGCAUGACCCUUUUUUGUUGGAUAUUAUGUAUUGUUGUUAGUUUGAAGCACUCCUCUUAUUUGACGGAUAGAUACCUUUCUGGGAUCAAGUGCAUCCUAACUCACCUGCGUAGGAUAUAUAUAUAUAUAUAUAUAUAUAUAUAUAUAUAUAGGACACGGCUAUUCUGUUACUAGUAACAGAAUAUUUUUCUGUUACUCCCGCUCCCUAUAGAGUUCCGAUGGUGAUUUCCACCCGCCCAAUCAGUGCACGCAAAAAGAAAUGAAAAAGCCCACCCAUGCGAACCCUCUCGACCCCUCAUCUCUCUCAAGACCGGCCGCUCCUCCCCCCAAGUGCGCCUCCGCGCUGCUCCCCUCCCUCCAGCGCGCCGCCUAGCCGACCCACCCUCCAGNNNNNNNNNNNNNNNNNNNNNNNNNNNNNNNNNNNNNNNNNNNNNNNNNNNNNNNNNNNNNNNNNNNNNNNNNNNNNNNNNNNNNNNNNNNNNNNNNNNNNNNNNNNNNNNNNNNNNNNNNNNNNNNNNNNNNNNNNNNNNNNNNNNNNNNNNNNNNNNNNNNNNNNNNNNNNNNNNNNNNNNNNNNNNNNNNNNNNNNNNNNNNNNNNNNNNNNNNNNNNNNNNNNNNNNNNNNNNNNNNNNNNNNNNNNNNNNNNNNNNNNNNNNNNNNNNNNNNNNNNNNNNNNNNNNNNNNNNNNNNNNNNNNNNNNNNNNNNNNNNNNNNNNNNNNNNNNNNNNNNNNNNNNNNNNNNNNNNNNNNNNNNNNNNNNNNNNNNNNNNNNNNNNNNNNNNNNNNNNNNNNNNNNNNNNNNNNNNNNNNNNNNNNNNNNNNNNCCUCCCGGCGGUCUGGUGGUCCGGCGCGCCCUGCCUCCCACCUACUGGCGAUCCGCCGCACCUCCACCUCUCACGUCCGGAACCAGCCACCGCCGCCACCCCAAGAGGCAGCCACCGCCGCCACCCUGACCCAGCCACCACCGCUGCCCCUAAUCCCAGCCACCUCCGCCGCUGCGGGACCAAACCAUCGCCGCCUCCCCCGGACCCAGCCCACCUCCUCCCUUCUCUCAUCCUCACGACCUCCUUCGACCUCCUCAUAACUGCAUCAGGCCAAUACCCCGGCUGGACCUCACGGCCGCGCGUCCGUCCUCGAACUGCUGCGUGUGCUCCCUCGAACGGUCGGAUUUCCUGUCCUUCUCUCCACCAUAGUGUGCCGUCCUACUCGGCAGUCCAACUUCUUGCUCCAUGGUCGGUCGCUCAGGUAGCUGCGUGCAGGCCAACAUCUCCACGGGUAACAAGUUCUUCUAAGACAACUUGUUGUUGCUGCUGCACCUUCUCCUUCGACCAGACUAAGUGAAUUGUUCAGGUACCUUGUGUGUCUAUUCUCCACCUUAGUGUUCAGUAAAACAUUCAUCGUGUUGGUGAACUCAUAUACUACUAUUCAAUCAGUUCGAAAACGUAAACUUGGGGAGUUAAAAAAACAACACAUUCAAGGGGUUCGUUGGGGAGAACAAGUCGAAGUUCAGGUGUCAAAAAAAUGACAGUUCCAAAAGAUGAAACUAUAUAAGUUCAAUGUGCAAAAACUCAGUGGUUCAAAUGCGAAAAAAGAAUUUCGUCUAAUCUAGUUCCCAUCGUGCAUUCUUUGUGUGUAGAAUUUCAUCUAAUCUAGUUCGAAUUUGGUCUACUUGUGUAAAUCUGUCAGUUCAAGACAAGUUCCUUCUGAUGCUACAAAUUAGGUCCUUUGUGAAUAUUGCUUGUUUCAGAGAGAAACAGACUUUGUAAUUGCAUCACACGGUGUCCUGAACAACAUAUAAGAGAUAAGUAUGCAACCGUGAGUCUAUCUCGUAUGAGUAUUGAGGCCAAGUUUGCAAUGUGGCCGUGGCCAGUGCAUAGGACCAGGCCCGAGCACGUGCAUGCGUGUGCAACCAGUCCUCUAGUUCUCCCGGUUCACUGCAUGCCGCUCAUGGCGUCGCCCUUCCUUCCUUCCUCUUAAUCUUCUCUGCCAGCCGGCUGUGGCAUCCCAUGUGUUGCAGCUUCCAGCGUCGUCCUCUGCCUUGUCGGCACACAAGCCGUUCGCCUCAGCCACCCAGUCCGUUCACCAUUUCCAGCAGUGUCCAUUCAACGCUAGCAUGCAGCUACCCGCCUCCUAGAUUCAGGUUUUUUACAUGCUCAAAUGGGAAGCCUGACUUUGUAUCAGGCUACUCUUCUUACAAACACCUGAACUGGAACUCAAUCCCGUGUGUUACCGUCCUCUCAUCUAGUCUGUUUUAUUCUCAGGGACGCAUUCAUGGCUUCAUUCAACAAGUGGACUGUGGGCAGAUGUUGAUCAACAAGUCUGCGGUAUUAAGGUUAGCUGCUAGUACAUAUUAUGGAGUUGGGGACAUGAGGGAGCGAAUGGUACAUGGAUCGAUGGGUGUAGACUUUGUAGGUUGAGUUGAUUCUUCAAGAGUACUGAAGUUUCUUCAGGAGUACUGAAGAGCUUUAUUGUUCUUGGAAAAAUGAUCAUUAGCUAAAAUGUUAGCUCUGUCAUUCCAUAAUUAUUGAUUAAUUGUCUGGUCUGAUUUCAUGGUACGGGCAAAAGGAAAGAAAUCUUGCAUCGUUUGCAGAUGGUACAUAGACAGGUUUCCCAUUCAGCCGCCAACUCCACACUUAGUUCGCUAGCCGAUUAUAGCGAAAACAAAAGUUGGUAAGUUCAAAAUGUUCAGUCCUAUAAGUUCAUCUACUCUAUGUAGAAUUUUGUCCUGUGAGUUCAUCUACUCUAUGUAGAAUUUUACUUUACCUGAUGUCAUAUAUUGAGAUAACAUUACUCUAGUUCUUCCGUGUUUCUACUUUUUCGUGGAAGUUCUUCCAUAGUUAAAAAUCUGCAUCCCUAGAUCAGCCAUUAUUUACUUUAUCCUACUGUUAUUGGACUGCCCAAGAAGCUUGUCAUUGUAGAAGACAAAAUCUACAUUAGGCAAUACUCUUGCUUGUUCUGACUUCUUCUUUCUCUUCUAGAUCGAGUAACCGUUUGCUCUGUAGGUGUUUGUCCCUAUUCCAGUGAGCACUAUUCUUUUUUCUAAAUGCUUAUUUUCGGCUCCUGCAUAUGUGUUUGGGCAGUACAAAUACAUCGCCAUACUGAGUACAGAUGUGGCACCUUGGGAAGUACCAAAAAUACCAACUGCUUAGUAUUAAUAUGGAGUACAUCACCGUGUGGGUGGGUUGGGGCAAAAAACUUGUACAUGUUAGAAUGGUAGGCAGUAAUUUCACAUGUUUAGCCCUAUAAGCUCAGAAGAAAAGAAACCAAAAAUAUAUUUCAUGAAAACAAACCCCAUGAAGUUCAUUGGGAAAAACAUGAUAAGUUCAGAACGUUCAGUUCAGCACAAGGCUCUAGCUUAGUACAAAGUUCAGGCCAGUUCAUACUUGAGUUUUCUCAAUUGGUUAUAGCGAAUCUCCAAGAAGUAGAACAACCAGGCUUAAUUAUAUUGUUUGUUUCUGUGAGCAGAUAGGCGCAAACUCAAGGCUGGCGGUUGAGCGCCUCCUUAGGUGGGAUAGCGGCCCAGCGCACAGCCUCCCUGCUUGCCCUGCCUUUUCCCGCACCUGCCCACCUGGUUGGGAUACUUCUUCUCCGGCGAGGUUGCCAUGCUGCACGGCGCUGGCACACCACCACAUUUUCAGUCAUGUUCAGUUAAAUUUCAUAGAAAAGGUACAUCCCGAACAACAAGUACAGUUCAACAACAAGACCUGUAGUAGUUCAUCAUUAUAUAUCCAUCAAACAAAUCAAUGUUAUGUUGUUCUCAUACUGUCCUGUUUACAAAAAAAUAUGGUGCUUUGUUGUAACAAGUUGUGAGCUAAUGCAGUGAAAAAAAUUAAAUUAUGCACCCAAAAGUUUUAGUUGCUAUAUGGGGAACCCAGAGGCCAUUUAUUUUGGUUUAUAGUUCAGCUUGUCUGUUAUUUUCAGUCUGUAUGCUUUAUUGUGCAUAAUCUUGAGGAAAUUCCCAAAAAUCAUGUGUGUACUCAAGGUAAUUAAGUGGCUUUGUAAAUUCUGACAGUCCAUCCCAGACUAAGCCAACAGUACGUCUUAGUCUUGGGUUUGUGCGUGACAUGUAAUCUGGUUUCAUAGAUGCUUCUGCUCAAACUAGAAAUACAAUAUUUUAGGUAACCCUGCUAGUUCAAUGAUAGUACUUCUAUUUUAUGUUUAUCUUACAAGAUGAAAAUAUUGAGGCUGGUCCUGUUGCUAGUUUUUCAUAGAUUUUCUAAGUAGCCUGAGACCCGUCCUGUCCUCUAUACAGAUUCAGAGUUUAACACAUAAAUGGAAGUUUGUUCUCAAAACUGAAAUUGUUCUACAUGUACUGAUAUAUUAGUUGUUAAUUAUUAGAGUGUUUCGUUCUUGCAGAAUAAAAAUAUGUUGUAUGUAUUGCUUCUUGGCCCAGCUGAGAGAACCCUCAUGUUAAAAUAUAUAAAGCAGUUUUGAAGCAAUUCCAAGUGUCUUUAGAAGCAUUCAUUGUUAAAAAGCAAUGAUAACCUCCUCCGUUCGAGAUGAGCACCGAUCAUCGUCCAGGUUCAGCACUAGGUGCCGUCCAAGUUCAAAGAGGGUUGUAUGAAAGUACAUAAGUUUGUUUUAGUGAGAAAAAAUGUGGGGUUUUGACAAUAUUCUGUAUCAUUCAUUUGUUCAACCUAAGAACUUGGCAAUAUUCGGUCUAUUUUUCUAUGAUGAAGGCACACAUGGAGUCAUGUGCAAAUGGUUAUCCCCCUAGUGCUUCAAAGAUUCGUACUUUGUUUCUUCAAAUGAUAAAAAUGUGGGGUUUUGACAAUAUUCUGUAUGAUUCAUUUGUUCGACCUAAGAACUUGGCGAUAUUCAGUCUAUUUUCCUAUGAUGAAGGCACACAUGAAGUCAUGUGCAAUGGUUAUCCCCCUAGUGCUUCAAAGAUUCAUAUGUUGUUUCUUCAAAUGAGAAAAAUGUGAGGUUUUGACAGUAUUUUGUAUGAUUCAUUUGUUCAACCUUAGAACUUGGCGAUUUUCAGUAUAUUUUUCUAUGAUGAAGGCAUACAUGAAGUCCUGUGCAAAUGGUUAUCUCCCUGGUGCUUCAAAGAUUCGUAUUUUUGUUUCUUCGAAUGUGUUGUGUGCCUGUUUGAUGAGGUAAAGCAAAGUAAGAAAGUGAAAAUGUCAUUAAAGACACUUGGAAGUACAAAUGUAAAAAAUAAAUAAGUUCUGAUUCUUGUCAGGUAGGAAGUUUGGAGAAGAAAACAUGAGUUUUUAAAAGAAGGGAAUGGUAAAAAUGUAAGUCCGUUCAACUAUAUAAACCAUAAAGGUACGAUGGUGAUGACACCAUCAGUAAGGAUAAGGAUGAAAAAGAAAAUUAAAAACUAAAACUAAAAGAACAUCGAGCGAUUAUUUUUUGAGAAGUACAAACUGUCUAGAACCAUAAGUACCAUAAAUUUAAAAUAAAAAUUGCAUCAGUUCUGACUCAAGGGACAAUAGAUUUGCAAAAAAAAAUUGUACUAGAAAAAGUUCGGAGGGAAAAAACAGCUUAAUAAAUGAAAAAAACGACAAGUUCACAACUAUAAAAGUUGUAUGUUCAAACAUGAUGUCUCAGAUAAGUUUGAGAAAAAGCUCAAACAAAAGAAAAGCCCACAGAAAUUCAAAUGAUAAAAGUUCAAGUCGCAAAACGCGAGAAGUCCACAUCGUUGCAAAAAAAUGAGAAUUUGAGAAAACUUCAACAUGACUAAGUUUCACAUUUUCAAUAGCUUUGCGUAGACGUUGAACUGAAUCCUUUGACCUCUUUGAAAGUUUCGCAUUUGACAAUUCUUGUGAGAUUUCGUGGACAAGCAAAUAAGAAAUCUGGCCCUUUCAAACAGUAAAUGAAUUAACUUAAAAAAAUAGUAAAUGGAUUUGGAUUCCUGGACAACAUUAAUUGAUGGAUGCAAAUAAGCAAUCUAGCCCUUCCUCUCAAAAAUAGAAACCGGAAACUUGCUAUAUGUACACAAUUAAGGAACAAAACAGCCUACUCUGUUUGGGAAGAACACAACACAACAAGUACUAUGUACAGUACAACUGUGCUCUGCUUGGCUGAACGAUUAUAGCUCCGCACGGCG
rnacentral:lncRNA from 1 species